UUUUUUUUUUUUUUUUGUUGUACACUGUCUUGUUUAAUUAAUGUCUUGUUGAGGCUACGAGUGGUUGGAGCUAAGCUAGUAGUCUGUGGUCUUUCCAGUGGUAGAAAGAGAGAGAGAGAGAGAGAGAGAGAUGAUGUUAAAGCUGCAAACUCUCAUGUCCAGCUUUGUCUCUGCUCUCUAUCACUAGGGUUAUAUUUUCUCGAUAUUACAAUAUUUUUUGGCAUUUAGGGUAUCAUUGUCAGCAAUGAAAACCUGAUUUCUUCUCACUGUAUGAUCAUCAGUAUUUAUGUCUCUAUCGCCCCCACCAGCAUAAAAAUAAAAAAUAGCAAUAAAAAAAAAGCAUCUGAAGAAAUUUAAUGAAAAGAUGGAAAAGAUUUCGUUAGCAGGAAGAAAGAAGAGAAGACGAAGUAAAACAAAGCAGAGGAAGAUGAAAGUUUCAUCUGAAUACUUGCAUUCCUCCAGCUAAACCAGAUGUGCAUAUAUUUAUGUGUAGUUGUAAACCCAUUUCCGUAAAAUAAUUAAAAAAAAAGGUGCAAUGGUAUUGGCUGUGUCAGUACGAAAUCCAAGAGUCAGGUGAAACAGAUAAAAAGCUCAGUAAACAUUGUUUGUACGUAGUAAAAUAACAAAGCAAGGGACAGAGAGGUAGGGACAUGUAUAUAUAAAACUGACCUGAUUCCUUGAUAAACCAGUCUGUCGAGCCAACAGAUGCUUAUCCGCAUCGCUUGGAUAUCUGAGAAGAGAAACACACACCCCCACCAAGUUCAAUUAUUAUUAUAAACAACUUCAAUUCUUGAUUAUAAGUCAAUCCUUUUCAUGACAUCAUAACUUUUGGUAAAUUAUAGUGAUAAGUUUGUUUUGAGUGACAUUUCCUUGAAUCAAAGCCAUUGAAUGAAUGUAUAAUUAAAAUACGGGAGGAUCGAGAAAAGCAUACAGAAAACCUUUUAAUUUGCAGGAGCUGCUAAAGGGUAGGGUAAAGUCUGAAACCAGCCCCCGUAUGUAUAAAGAGAAUACUCACACAUUUUACUUUGCUUUGCUUUUCGUCAAUCUUUCUUUCCUCUUUCAAAUUAGAGAAAAAGGGAAGGAAUUUGUUUGUUUGUUUGUUUGUUUUUUCUUCCUCUUUUCAAGUAAUAUUGUACAGUAGUAGUAGUGGGUCAGUGGUGCAUGGGAUGGGCGUUAGAAUCUAAGAACUAAAAGGAAAGAAAGAGAGGCCAGUACCCAGCAGUAGGCAGCAGCAGCAGCAGCUAGCAUGCAGUUUGCCAGGCAAAGGAGGGGGGGCAUGCAAUGCAUUACUAAUGUACACUUUUUCAACUGUUUAAUUAAAUAAUAUAUACAAAGUUGUGGAUGUUUAUAUAUAUAUAGGUUGUGCCGGUAUAUGAAAGCAAUAAUGCAUGGCCGAUGAUGAGUUGAGGGUGAGACAAAUGACCUAUCCCUACCUAGCUCUUCCCACCCAAAUACUUUGAAUUACUUUUUGUUGUAUGGGCUAAUUUGUAUAUACUAAUAGUAGUAAAGUUGUUGAUUCACAAUCUGUGAUCGAAAAGUGACGUGAAAUUGUAGUUGUAACAGACUAAAAUCGCACAAUUUCAUGACUUUAUAUAAUAGAAAAUUUUAAAAAGAUUGAUAUUAUUUUAGUUUUCACUUGUUACUAAGAUAAUCAAAAUUUAUCAAUAAAAUAAAUAAAUUAUUCAUAACACCUAGAUUUUUUUAAUUCUAAGCCAAACCGAGUUAGACAAAAUGACAAAUGGACAAUUUUUACUUGGAAAGUAUAAUCGUAAAAUACACAAAAAAAAAUCAUUAAUUUUACAAUAUUCGAAGAUUUAAAUCGAGAUUUUACCUGAUUCCACUAACCAUCGAUUUUAAGUGGAAUGAAAAUAAUUUGACACCGUAAUAUUUUAAAAUGUAAAUCGUUGAUGUCACUACUACCUGCCUACAUAUUAUAUUCUCACUGAUGAUUCAAAAGCUAGCUAUGAACUUUAGGAUCUUGUGACAAAGCCAACAAAUUGUUAUUUCCAGACCCAGAUAAAACAAAUGUCGACCCAACCGCAUUCAUAGGUUUCUGGAAAAAGAAGCUUUAACCCCUCCUCGACACUCAACAUGACAUCACCAACGCCGAUAUAUAUAGUUUUAAUUAUGUGUUAUGAACUCUUUUAACUUUUUAUAACUAGUUAUUGUGGGCGGGGCUCUACUAAGAUUUUACUAUCAGUUAGCAUGUAGUUAUAAUAAGACUGAAAACAAAACUCUCUAUAUUAAGUAUCCAAAGGGUGCUUGUACGGGGUACGGAAGGUGUGCGACGUAACUUGGUAACUAAUAAAGCAAGUAGCAAGUAGUCGUCAAGUUGAUGGUGAAUAGUGAAUACCAACUAACUAAUAAUGACUUGUAUAAAUGUUAGUGGUAACCGUUUUGUGCUUUGUGAAAGGUGAAUAACCAAAGAAAACAAUUAAUGUAUAGAGAGGAAAAGGCCAAGGAGAAAUAAUAGUUAGGAGACGUACGGGUGAAGGAAAUGCUCGAAAAGCCAGGCACGAAGGAUGUUGACGGAACGCUCAGGCAAUCCGCGCUGAGGUCGCCAGGCUUCCUGCUCCAUCAUUCCCAUCUGGUGGAACGCUCGUUGCUGUCUCAGACUUUGCUCUAAUGCCUUGAGCCUCGGCGUCUCGCCUCUCGUUAUCCCCGCGCUACCACCCGCGCCUGCCGAGUCUUUCUCACCCAACAUCUCGCAGCUCUGCUUCAGCUGUGCCGCUAUGGCGUCCUUGAGGCACCUGAAGUGCCUCGACAUCGCCUUCUGCGCCAAGGCUGUGUACGGGACUGCUGCCCCGUACCCCAUCACUAGAUCGAACGAGUUCACCACCAUCUGCAUCUGUUCGCAGUAGUGGUUGUACCUUCUGUCCACCUGAUAAAUUCACUCACAACUAAUCGUAUUAAAAUUGUGUACUUCUCUGUAUGUAACUAACUCAAUGACAUCCAAAUCUCGUUAUUAAUCAUCAUGAUUAUGUUAUAUUGUCGCACGAGGAUUAAAUUGAUUUCCACUGUACUUGAGGGGACGUACCGGGGCUAUCCCCCCAGACAAAUAACAUGCACAGACUUCUAUGAUAUGACAUUGGACAAGGACUUGCAUACAAAUUAUUAAUGGUGUUUAAUUUAAUGACAAUGCAACAACUGUUCCCCUCCCACACGUACGUACAUAUAUAUGACCACCUUCAUGAAAAGAACAGCUGUUUGUAUAUGAAUGUUGAUUCCAGAUAGAUUUAAGCUUUUUUACAGGUUUGUGUUUGCUUCUUCCAAUAUUACGAAUACUCAUAACCCUAAAAAAACAGGACGAAUAUAUGAAUAUCUCGAUACACCCGCUACCCCUUUUCCGCCCACAUGCAAAACUAUUAUUACCAAUAUUGGUUGAUAUAUGGUAGCAGAAACUUCUUCAUAAUUACUUUUCCAUACGUAAUUGUCUACUUUUAUUUAUUAUUUCUUCACCAAACCCCUUAUAUAUUUGAAACAAGUUGAAUAAAACUAAAAAUCUACCUUCAGCAAUCCAACAGUGUCAAACCUAGUAAUUCUGAUUAUUAAAAUUGAAGAAGCAACAUAAUUAGUUGUUUAUAAAAACCAUUGUGACGGUGACGGCUAAUCCUACCACUCUACUGCUACUCGAAGCAACUAGCUAGCGAGAUCCUUUAUUAGUAUACCUUACUGCACCUGCCGGCUUUUAUUGUUUUUUUUUUAGAAAAAAAAAAUAGAUUUGGCUUAAAAUAAAACCCUCCUGCGGAUUUUGUGUUUGUUUCAAAUGAUUGGAGCAACUCCGAGAAGAAAAAUGUUCACCAGCCAAAUGGUGACUAAAAUUCUAAAAUAAAAAUAAAAUAAAUAAAGAUGUAUGGUUAGCUGACUCUAAAUUUCGGAGACCUGACAGGAAGAAAUCAAAUUCAAUGGCGGGGCAGGAAACAAUUCUAGCAAAUUAAAUAUUCUCUAAAACGAAAUCAAUUUAAAAUAGUAAUAAUAAAUUAUUAAAAAAGGAGAAGGAGUAGGGGACAUGCCUCAUCAAGCAUGGAUACUAGUUUGACCUUCCUUCUUUGAUGCUCCAUCCUGUCCGACGAUGACAAAGGCGGGGGCGGGCACAGAUCCUUUGGUGGGGUAGUCGGAUGAACGGCCGCCUCGGUUGUUGUNNNNNNNNNNNNNNNNNNNNNNNNNNNNNNNNNNNNNNNNNNNNNNNNNNNNNNNNNNNNNNNNNNNNNNNNNNNNNNNNNNNNNNNNNNNNNNNNNNNNNNNNNNNNNNNNNNNNNNNNNNNNNNNNNNNNNNNNNNNAUGUACGAUGAGGGGGAGAGCGAGACUCCUUUUCCUUCACCCCCCCGGCCAAUUUCAGAAGGUGCUGUUGUUGCGCCGCCGCCCGGUAUCCAUGAGAAUUGUUGCUGGUGUGGAUCCGGGAGGAGCAUGUGGAGUGUUGAAGAAGAAUGAGGAGACGGAGAAGGGGAUCGCGGGAGGAAGAGCUGCAUGGCCGCAGCUGCUUCCUCCGCAUUAAUUGACCCCGAUAUCGUCUGAUGGUGCUGCUGCUGCUGCCGUGCCUCGUUAUAGUCUGUGCUGCUUUCACGGUUGUUGUGAUUAUGAUGUUGAUGAUGUUGAGACUUUGAACGAUCUCCUUCUCCUAAUCCGUCAAUUACCAUACCUUGUCUACCUCCGUACCAUUCGCCGCCGUCCAUUUGCUGCCGCGGCAAGCUGGACUGGUGGUGGUCUAACAAUUCAACGGCCGUGGGGACCGGUCCUCCGGCAGCGAAAUUGAACAUCUCAGAUAACAUACCGCUUGUCUCGUUGACUUGAUGAUGAUGAAGAGCGGCGGAAUUUUGGUCUUGUGCCUCAUCAAUCCCGACAAGGGAGGAUUGAGGAGGAGGAUGAGUAGGAUACUCUGCUUGAAUUCUAAGCUUAUCUCUUCUAACCUGCUGCGCCAUAUGCUGAUGCUGAUCUACUUGAGGAGUUCGUUCGUCGUCAAAGCCAUUAUUGGAGGAGAAAGAGAAGAUGCCUCCUCCUCCUCCUCCUCCACCACCACCACCGUUUCCUCCACCUGCGCCUCCAUCUUGGUGAUGGUGAUGGUAAUCCUGGGACAUAGAAUAACAAAGGCGAGAAUCGACAGCUGAAUUGUGAGGAUGAGGAAAUGAAAGGCUGUUGAUGGCUAUUCCCAUAUAUUGGCUUUGUUUCUUCUAAUCAUCGUCUCUUUUCUUCUACAGGAGGCAAAUAAAAUUGGAAGAAAAGGAAACAAGAUUUAUAGCGUUUGAGAGAAAAAGAGAGGAGAAAGGCCAGGCCAAAUAUACAUGAGAGGAAUUUGUGUAUGUGUUUGCAGUAGUAGUGGAGGAGGAGGAGGAGGAGGAGGAGGAGGAAGCAGCUGGAUGCGAGAGGUCGUUUUCUGGGAGAGAAGAGAUAGACAGAUAGAUAGAGAAAUCUGAAAUCCUCCUCCUUGAUGCUAGCUCAGUGCUGCCAAUUAAAACAGAAAGCACACUUGUCUGCUAUCAGAUUAGAUAGAUAUGUAUAUUUGCUUUACAGGUUGCUGCUGCUAUUUCUCUUCGAUGCGCCAUGUCUGUGCUUGGUCUCUUUCUGGCCCUCUUUUUUGUGUGUGGGUUAAUUUCUUUGUUGUUGUUGUUGUUGUUGUGCUGCUGCUGCUGUUGUUCUCUCUCUCUCCCUCUCUCUCUCAGAACAAAGGCCUGAUAUCUGAUACUGCGGAUGAUGAUAGCAAGAUAAUGAUUUUAAUUUAUAAUUAAAAAAAAAUCACAAGAGGACAAAUACUGUAUCCACAAUUUUACAAAUGGAAGAGGGUUCUAUGAAAUGUAGAUAUCGGUAGAUUCCUCUCAACAUGCUCCCUCUACAAUUUUGUUUAUAUUUUUCAAUAACUCCACCAAAAUGAUUACUAUGCAGAGAUUUCAGAUAUUAAUCAUUAUUCGGCUAAGCUAAUUAUUGUCGUGCAGAAGCGAGUAAGUACGCAACACAUCAACUUUGUCUCAGAAUUACAUACUAAUUAAUAUUGGUGGAUCAAUUAUAUAAAGGGAUUAUUAUAUAUGAUCAUGUCUAACAAUGUUGGGAAGGGUAGAAGGAAAAUUAAUUGGUGUUAGGAGAAACAAGUUAAUUUUUAAAAUGACACGGAAAAGAAAAGAGAAGAGGAGAGGAGAGAAGAGAAGAGAAGACGUCGUUGGUUCUUCUUUCUUUUCUUUUCUUUUCUUUUCUUUUCUUCCUUUUUGCCUUUUUGUCACAGUCCCAACCAAUAUGAUCAUAUUUUUUUAAUUUCUGACAAACACAACCCAACUGUUCACCACAACAUGCUUUCUCUUCUCUCAUUUAUUUACAACAUAACUUGUUCUCUUUCUUCUCUCUUUUGCAACUCAAUUUUUGCAUCGUCUUUCUCUCGCAGGUUUAGGAAAAUGUAACCGGCCGAUGCUUAGGUCUAUCUAGUUAAAAAUGAACGUUAAUACCAUUGACUAUAAAAUGAUUUUGAUACCUUUAAUAAAAUAAAUAUUAACUAUUUUGUUAAAAUAACUCAUAUUGUAUUAAUCAUUAAUGGUGGCUACAAGAUUCAAUCACUUUUCAGAAAAUCUGUGAGUUUAGCAAUAGUGUUUUCAAAAAUCUCUCUUUUCGUCGAUUCGCUUCUCAUAAAACCCUUAUCAUAUCGAUAGGUAAUACAAUAAGGGCAAUUUUAGUAAAAUAGUGAGUAAAUUUUUUUAAUUUAGGGCAUAUUAGUCCAUUUAUGUUAAAAUAUAGAUCGUAUGAAAUAAAAUACGGAAUGUAUAUAUCAUCACCCUAAACAAUUGGUCAUUGUUUCAAUAAAUCAAAAGGAUGGGCUACAGUUUGCUAGCUAUUUCGGUCUUGUUUGUGUGAGAGAAUUAAGUGAGAGUUUUUGAGUGAUGUAUCAAAUCUCUACUCUAUAGAAUUGGUUUAAAAUAGAAUGUAUGGAUUACAAAAGGAAGAGAUUUUAAGAGAAUUGAAAUUUCUCAUGCAUUGUAGACCGAAUUGAUUUGGGAACCAAAAUAAAUUUUCUCUCAAUCAUGAACGAUUUUGAGUAAUUUGAUUCUUGUUUUCUAAUAUGCCCUUGUCUCAUUUAAAAAUCACAAAUGAAUUUUCACAACUUCAUUUAUCUUACCUAUCACCUAAACUAAAAUAUGAAUAAUUUUUGUUCUAAUCACCUAAACUAAAAUAUCUCUAAAUCACCCAUCCAAAUAAUCUAUUCUUUAAAUAGUACAUACACUUGUCCAUGUGGGAUAGCUCAGUUGGCAGAAUUCUGUGAUUGAUAACCUAGAGGUCCUGAGUUUGAAUCUACUUACGCCCCACAAUGGACACCCUUAUGCAUUCUCUCUUAUUGAGUGAAUCUAUCGGUCCCUAUGCCGCUUCGAGCUCUCCCAUACAUGCUUGUCUCCACCAGCAUGGCCCAUUACAGAUCAUUCGCUAUCCAUGCCCUUGCAGGCGAUGAGACGAACAUACCAAGACCUCAUUGACCUCCAUGUCUUGGAGCUCAUGGAUGUUCGUGAUGUUUGUGCUUGGUGUUUCCUACAAGGUAUUUGGCAUAUGGACAUCAAGGGCAAUGCUAUGGUCAUUCUCUUUCGAUUCGCUCACCGGUGCAUCAAUUUUGAGGUCUUGGCCUCCCUGACUACUUGUCUUCGGCUCCAUGUGCUGCCCACUUAAUGGUGCAUGGAAAGGCUCUACAAUAUCUCACAACCUAAAUCGAUUUUUAGAUUAUAUUUGAUUGCCGAUCUAUUCCGUCGGGAGCUAAAACAAAAUACAUACACUUAAAUCGUCUUAACUAAUUAAAUUUUACGGCAACAACCCGUAGAAAUUGUCGGCUACGUACUGUUGUCAUUUUCCAGAAACAGUGGUACCCAAAGGCAAAAGCACGGGAAUAUAAUAAAAGAUAAUGUCAGUACAAAGUCCAUUUCAGUGAUCCAAACUACCACCAUCCUUCGAUUUGGAUGUCCUUACCAUAAUAUAUAAUAAUGCCCAUCCAUGGCUUAUGAUUCAAUUCUCUACCCACACCCACAUCCAGAUCCGCCUAGUUGGUGAGGGUGAUCGAGGGUGCUAUCGUCUUUCUCACUCCCCAUUUAAAACACCCCAAUAAUGCAACUUAUUAUCAUAUAUUUCUCCUUUUCUAACCAUACAUACUUAUUAUUAAUUUCUGACUUAUUAUGUCACACAAAUUUAUCCUUUUUUUAUUUUGGAAUUAAUAUCAGUUUUGCUUUCUGUACCAAUCAUUGCCAUCUUGUAGCCUUCACUACUGUUUUGAGGAAAUUUCAAGAACAAAUAUGCAUUAUUUAUUUACCAAUUUAAAGAUAUAUUAUUGCAUAAUGAACACGCUAAUAACUUUUUACAUGAAGUCUUCAUUUUAGACUUAUAAUUUUCCUCAAGUUUCUUCUUGGGUAUGGAAGCACCUACUUCUCGUAUUUCUCGAAGCUAGACUUUUUAUGAGAUUUAGAUAUUAUGAUUCGUUAUAAACUGAGAAUUCUCUUAAUGAAAAGUGGCCUAAACUGAAUUGACUAGUUGCUAUUUGGGGAUGGCCGAUAAUCCCUCAAUUCUCUUUUAUGGUUUAACAAAUUAUUAUAUAUUAUUGUUUGGAAUCCUUUGAUUGACAUGUCUUGACUAAUGUAUGAUGAUGGUAUAGAAUUGAGGGACUAACUAUUUGCCGAUUGCCCCAGAUGAGUGGAUUAUUAAAUAGAAUAGAAAACUCUAUUUAGAUAGUAAUUUUAUAUAUUUUUUCUUUUUAUUUCAACCUUACAGAUUUUAAUAUGAAGGUUCGACGCUGAUCAGAUUGCCAUCGGAUGUGACCAGCGUAACUGCCAAUGCUACAGCUUCCUGUUUCACAAAUCUUUACUUGUCUUUGCCUUCUGCGUUGCAAGAUGCUGAUAACCCAAGCUAUGAUGUAAUUAACAUGGCUGGAGGAAACCAUGGAAAGAUCAGAAGUCAGAACACGUUUAAUUUAUCACGACGGAAGAUUAUAACAACUUGUUUUGAAUCAUCGACCUGAACCAACCAGUUUCAUAACGAGUACUGUUGCCCCGACAUGAGUCAUGCAUGGUUCUGCAUCAUGACUCGCAUAUUUCUCGACUCAAACGAGUGUCCGAGUAGUAUUGGGCACCACUGUCAGUCCUACUUUUCUAGGUUGAUAGACUUCAAGAAACUGUCAUAUAGUAAUUCAUAAAGGCUUGAUGCUAAAGCUAGUAGCUGAAAUAAAGAGUUUUUCUCUCGGCAUGUAUGGAACUGAAUCAACUCAGAAUAGAAUUGAAAAAACUAUUAGCUAGACAAAUUUCAGAUUUCAGUUUUAAGUUCUGAACAUUUUUCAAAAUGCCAGAUGAAACAUGUUUUCCUUCACAGUUUCUGCUUUACACUAUAUUUCCGCAUCAUACCGAAACUGAAUACUAAUAGUAAACACUAAACAGGGCCUAAUGUUAAAGAUGCAAAGAGCUCAUCCGGAAAAUGUCGAAAGCACGACAACUGGAAAUAGAUUGCAAAUGGUUUCUGACAACGUUAUGCUCAAUAGCUUCAGUACAUACAUGGCAUCGCUUCACCAUGCAGAGAGAUUACAGUAUUACACAGCCUUUUUACAGAAGAGCAGGCAGUACACAAACAGCAUUUUAUGUGGUUGAGUUCAGUUUCUCUCUUUCUUCAUUACAAGUUUCACUCUUUAACAAUCCUAUAGCCUAUAGAGAUAUGGUAAUGGCAGCGCUGAGAUAUGUGCAAAUGGGGGAAUUCAGCUUAUUAUUUUCCUUUCUUUCACUAUUUGUUCAGUAAAAUCUUUAUAAAGGAAAGGUUCCUGUGAUUCUUAUAUGAUCCAGGGUCCUCUUCAACCCGAAUUUCUGGACUGAUUUGUUGCCUAUCCUGAACCCUUCACCAUAAGCUUCUGAAGUGUCUGACUCAAUCUGAUGUCUGAAAAACUCGCCAAGUUUCUUCUCAAAGUCAGACCGCUUUCCUUUCUUUGAUGAUGUUGAUGAUGAGGAUGAUGGCGAUGAUGAAGAUGACGAGGAUGAGGAAGAUGAUGAUGAUGCUUCCUCAUUUCCGGGACUAGAAUAUAUCUCAGAAUCAAGCCACAUAUGAGCCAAGACCUGGCAAAUACCUUCUUCAACCUCUGGACUUAGAUUUGAAAAGCCUGUCAAAAGAAUGGCAGCCGUUUACCUGACUUGAGUGACUAAAACAAGUAAAUGGAAUGUUUCAAAUGUUUUAAUGACAGCACCUUGCAGGCGAAGCCAAGCAUGCAUCAGCUCAUGGGCAAGGAUAGAACCUGUCAACAAUCUGCACAUACAAACGUUUCAGGAUUUCGGUCCAUUUCGGGUUCUGGCAAGAGUGAGAGAAAGAUGACAGUACCUGGGAAGACCAAACAAUAUGAGGAUUGCUGUGACCUCACAUAUGCGGCUUAGCCUGUAGGGUUCCGUCCUUAUGUCUACAAAACGGUAGCCUGGUCCGAUCCUAGGCCUCCUGAAGACCUGUUUAUUUUGGGAAUGAUUCAAGUCGAAACAAAUGACAGCAACUAGAAUUCAUGAAGUAAGAAGUUAUGGUUUUACCGUGGUGAUAGUCUGUUCUUCUGAUAGGCAGAGUCCUCUGGUUUCAGGUAGGUGGUGAUGACCCUGCUAGGAGAAAGGAAAAAUUAAAUGAAGACUAGAAAAAAAAGAUGAAAAUAACAAGUGGAUUCAACCUCUGGCAAAAAAGGCUUACAUUCUUUUCCCCUUCCAUGGCUUCAUUCAGUGCUGGUCUCUCAACCAAAAGUAAAGGAACGUCCUGCUCCACUUUCAUAUUCAACCCCUCGUAGAAUUCCCGUAUUUCAAAGUAAAGAGGUUGACAUUCAUGAGUGUCCAUGAUUGCAGAGUCUAAGCACUCCAGGCAUAGCUUUCUACCAUCAUCAAGUGAUAGAUACUUGGUGUCUCGAGACUGCAUGAUUGCAGCAAGUAACAGUUUGCAUUACAAAUUCUUCAAGUUCUGAAUCAAAAUAUGAGCUUCACAGGGUUUUGGUUACAGACCUCCAUUCUUUCACAACUGCAACAGCGAGGAGUUCCAUCACGCUCGUGGGCGGGGCAGUAUUUUUGAAGCCAGAAAGGGUGUUUCCUAUAUUCAAUAAGUCCAGCUGAGUUUGUAGGGAUCUGAACAAGAAGGAAUAGCCGGUAAAACUGACAGUAGUCCUCUCGUUAAAACAUUAAGACGGUUAUCUACCCCAAUUGGAUAAUAUACUCACAAAGCUAUUGCAGACAUCGCAUUUAGGAUGAUGCCGCUCCUUGUAGCAGGAUUUGUGGUAAGGUCGAUUCCCUGACAUAGAAAACUAGUAGAGGAAACAAACUCUAAGAUAAGCAAUUUGAUGGUCCAAAAAUAAUGUUGAGAAUUAAUCAAACUCCAAACGCGAAAUUGAGAUAGAAGCAGACCUCAUAGUCAGUAAUUGGUUGAUUACAAGCCUGGCAACGGAAGCAUUCAGAAUGCCAAACAGCAUCCAUGCAACUUAGGAACCUUCCAUGUCCAAUUUCAGCAUUGCAGCCAGCACAUAUUCUAGUUGGGACACAGAGAAAAUCCAAGUAUAUAAUUCUUGUUAAUAAAGAGUUGCUCAAAACCAAAGACAUGAUGGUUGUAGCAAAUAUACAGAAAGGAAUUCCACAUUUUAUGGUUCCUGUUAAUGAUCAUAAAUGGCCGGUGAACAAGAAGCUCAAUAGGGGUUAGACCUGCUUAAGAGAAGCUUGUUACAUAAAAGCUCUGCAGUAUUCCUAAUGUAAGAUGAUGGAAGAAGCAAAAAAAAGGUACCUGUAACCACCGGUUGGAAAGAAGAAUGAAUAAGGUGGAGGGAAUGCGGUUCUUCCUCCACUAUCAUUUAUGGAUCUAGGAGGAUGAGAUUCUUCUACGCUCAGACUUUCUUGAAUAGCUCUAGCAAGCUGUUCAUCCUCCUCCAGUUGUGCUUUUGUGCGGCUUUCUUCUUCAACCACUUUGGCUAUUGCAUGGUAGUUAGCAUCAUCAUCAUCAUCAUCAUCAACAACAGCCACAUCAUUACCAUCAUCUUCAACCACCUUAGCUACGACUUUUUCAUCAUCCUCAUCACCAUCAUCAUCGUCAUCAUCAUCUUCGUCCAGUGAGUGGAGAGUCUCGUCAUCAUCCUCCUCUGUAUGAAACGCAAAUUAUAGCUCAUAAAUGUAACAACCAGUUACAAUUCACCAAAAGUUGCAGUAAUAAUGGAACUCACCGAUCAUCACCUUCUUCCCUUUCUCAUCAGCUUCUGAAAGGGAAAGGGCAAUAGCACAUUCAAUUUCAUCUUUGUCAAAGUCUGAUGCAUUAUCCUGCAUUUGACACAGCAGACAGAUAUCAUAUACCAUUUAUGUCCAGCAGAAUAUUACCUUCCUUAUAGUAAACACGCUGGAAGUUACCGCUGAACGACGGGGCUCAAUAUCCCUAUUUCUGUCUUCUCCGUAAUGGCUGCGAUAAUUCCCUUUAUGGCUAGAACCUUUAAGUAUCUUUGUGAGCCAACCCAUCCUAGAAACCGCUCCCCCCUAGGCCUGGAGACUGCUUUUAUCCAUUCCAUUUGUCAGAGCAACUCGACAUUGAGGAAAGAAAAAGCAAGAAGAGUGAAAGUUGCGAAAGGAACCAAGACAUGCCCUCUUCUAAAAGCAACCAUCUUUACAACCAUAAGAUUAUUCAUUAACAUGAGGGGAUGGUAUUAUAACCAAUGUGGCUUGGUAGGGAUAACCAGAUGAAAACUUGUAGCUACGACCCAGAAACAAAAAAGGGUAUAUUAAAAGGAUGGAUCUUUGACCUGCAAAAUUAUGGCCAUAGUACUUAUAACUAGAUAUUCAUAAUGGGAAUUCAAGGCAGAAUCGAGAAUCUCUAUCUCUCUCUCUGAGGUCCAGUAUCAAACAGUUGGAAGACAUGGUAAGAGAAAAAACAGAGAGAUGGAGACAGAAAAAACCCUCACCUUGGAAGAGCAGAUGAAUCCAGGAGAAGGAGAAGGAAUGAAAUCAUCUAGUCUGAAUGCAUAAUAACAAAUUGCUCGCCCCAAAAUUAAGCAGUUUUAAAUCACAUCAUCAUUGCCCACUGGCUCCCCCACCACCACAACUUGCUGCAAAUACACCUUUCCCCUUCUCUGAACUAAAAAAUUAAAUUAAUAAAUUAAGAUAGAGAUGGAAAGAGAGAAAGAGGAAAGUAGAAGAAAGUACUUGAAUCGGAAGCGAUCCCCAGGACGGGGCACGAUAUACAAUAGAGAAAGAGGAUAUGUAGGUAGCAGUUGAAUUGGGGAAAUUCAAUUCUGAUCAGCAGCACAGUUUAACUGCUAAAGCAUCUUCAUUUCUUUUAUUUUGGGGUUGUGUGAAUCUCAAAACAUCACCAAACUUGUAUCUAAUUUAUUUUAAAGAAUAGAGAAUCAAGAGAGAGGCAUGGGAGUGAGGAAAAGAGCAGAACUUGAGGGGGAGACUGGGCUGUAUAAAGCAGCAGACAGCAGUAGUAGUAAUAGUUAAUAAUACUAAAAUAGUGGUGGAAGAAGUUGUUGAAAGUUCGUCGUCUUCUUAAACAUUUUCUAAACAUGGUUGCGAUUCGUGGAUAAUUUUGUCACCGACCGAUUUCCAACCACAUCCCACUAAAUGUCAAAACAGGGUUCCUCUAAUAAAUCAAUUCAUUCCACAAGUUGAAACCCGGGUAAUGGAUUAUGGACUGUUUAUUUUAGAAGGUAGUAAACCCAACUAUGAAAUCUUUGUGUCAGAAAUGAGUACAGAAUCAAAUAAGUGGAGGUUAUGACUUAUGAGUGGAUUAUUCUCCCUGCCAUGGUCUGUGGGUUCCCGCCAGCUAGCUCCAUGACGGGAGGUUAGCCUUAUUACCUUACCCCAUAAAUGGCGGAUUUAACGUGGAAUUGAAAAAUGACGUAAAAUCGUAAUUGUAGAGUUGAAUUGUAUAAUUGUAAUAUUUUAUGAAUUUUUUAUGAUAGUAAAUAUUUAGAAAUUAUAAUAACAAAAUACAUAAAAUAGAUAAAUGUUGAUUAAGUUCAUUAUCAAACUAAAAUUAACAUGAUAGACUUAAGUUUUCAUCAACAUAAUAUCUAUAAAUUAACCAUCUAAAUAAGUCUACCAUUUAAAAUACAAAUAGCAACUCACAUUACAACAAAUCCGCAAAAUCAAACAUCUAAAUGUUCAUUAUUUUCGCCUUUUCCAUGCUUUCCUUCCACAUGAUGAGCCACUUACAUCUUCAUCAUUUAUUGUUGUGUAGCACUAUAAAAAAUUUCCUCCCGAUAACCAAACCUUUUUAUCUUCUUCCUAUAUUAGACCGCCUUUUGAUCUUUCAAUCAUAUUUUUGCCUUAUUAGAGGAAGAAGAGAAACAACUAUAAAAUUAUAUUUAUGCUUGGAAAACAAGAUCGAUUUUGCUUCUAUGGAAAUUUGAAUUGUAUUUUUGGACGAAUGUACCCGCUUAGAUAAAAAAAUAUAUAAUUCAUUCUGUAAAAUGAACGGUUGAGAUUUAUUUACCGUAUGCAAACACGGCUUUUAUUUGUUGGUAAUCCAGACUCAGGAAAGUAUGAUUCUCUCCCUAAGAGCAAUUAGGAAAGCGGAUGGGUUAACUAUGGGCGGGUAAUUUCCGGGCUUAGCUCGAAGCCUGAACAGUGACCCAAAGAAAAACCCGGCCCGGGCCUGUGCCUAAAGAUGUAUAAACAGGCAGGAUCUGGGCGGGAAUAUAACCGACCCACAUACCCCACUUUGUUUCGUUUGGCCAUUUAGCCGACGAGGUUGUUUUUAUUCAGCAUAUUGCACAUCAGUUGUUCGACGAUUUGCCCGGAACCGCUGCUGCAAUGAAUUUCAGCCGGUUUCCACGAAGCAUCGCUCAGUUCAGCAGCCUGAAACAGCAAAUUGGCGUCGUUGCCCGUGAUCCCUUCCCUAACAAGCUCACCCAUUAUCUUCUACGAGCCGAGCUUAUCAAUGCCAUUCGACUCCAGCUCCGGUCCAAGGAAUCCAGCUCGCUCCUAACACUACUGAACAAUCGACUAUCAGACGCAUUUGUAGUCACGCACGCCAUCCGUUCUGUUCCAAAUCAUGAGUCUGCGAUUUCUCUUGUUGAAAUGCUCAAGGAUGUCCCUCAUUUUCAGCACAAUCAAGCUACAGUCCACGCAUUUGCCACCGUUCUGGCCAAGUCAGGCAGGACUUGUGAACUGAAGUCCCUCAUUCAAGAUAUUCAAAGCGAGAGAUAUCCUCGAGUUCGGGUUAACUUCAUGAAUCUCAUGUAUUGGUAUGCCGCUGCUGGGGAUACGAAGGCGGUUCUGCAUAUUUGGAACGAGUAUAGAGGAAGCAGUGAUAGGCGUCUAUGCACGGAGUCCUAUAACAUUGUUAUGAGAAUUCAUGUUCAGCAGCGGAAUGAUCUUGAGGCAGUAAAUGUGUUCUUUUCAAUGAUCGAUGAAGGGGCUAUUCCCAAUUCGAGAACUUACACAGUUAUGAUUGAGCAUCUUGUUGAGUGUGGGAAACUGGAUUCAGCUUUAGAGGUUUUUAAUGUUUUGCCAAGGAUGAGGGUCAAGAGGACGUCGAAACAGUACUUGGUUUUGGUGGAUGGGUUUGUGCAGGCUAAGAGAUUUGACGAGGUCAAAAUUCUAUUUGAGGUGAUGAAGGCUGAUGGGAAGUACCCUUGCCGCGCAAUGUGGAUGGCUCUACAGGAGUUAAAGGAGGCAGGAUUUGUAGAAGAGACGGACUUGCUUCUGGAAGGAAUGUUUCCCGACGAGAGGAUCAAGAGCAUUAUUUCUCGAUCGGAAAGCAGCGAUGAGGACAGAGAUGGGAAUGAAGAGGAGAGCUUUGAGGUGAGUGGUGCUGUUGAUUUGGAUAUUCAUGAUGUUGUCAAGUUGAAACCAUGGUUGGAUUCAAAAGCAUUGGCAGAUGCGUUGAGUACAUGGAACCCUGCUGUUAUAGCCAUACUAGAGAGUUCGGAAUUUGUAUGGACUACUAGGUUGGUAUGUAAGGUUCUGAGAAAUUUUAAAUCACCAGACACAGCUUGGGGUUUCUUUUGUUGGGUUGCAUAUCAACCAGGUUUCACUCAUGACGUUUACACUGUCCAAAGAAUGAUUGCCAUUUUAUCCCGGCAUGGUAAGGUUGAACUGGUUGAUAAGCUUAUAGCAAAGGUAAGAAACGAGGGAAUGACAAUGCCUUUUAGUACCAUCAGAUUGAUAAUUGAGUUCUAUGGCAUCUCAAAAAAUGCUGAUGCUGCUUUAAAGGUCUUCCGUGAUGAUAGAGCACAGUGUGGUCACAUAAACAAAUAUAAUUUGAUGAUUCUGUAUUCAGCCCUCUUGCGAACAUUGACCAAAUGCAAGAGAGAUUCUGAUUCCAUUGAGGUGCUUGAAGAGAUGAUGUGUUGUGGGAUAUGCCCUGAUAGCCAAACGUUUUCUGGGUUAAUUUACUAUUUUGCAUUACAAGGAGAUUUGAAGACAGUGCAGAAGCUAUUUACGAUGGUCAGGCAGAAUGGUGUGGGACCAGAUGCUUACAUGUUCAAAGUACUGAUCCAAGCAUAUUGCAAACGUGAUAGGGCUGCUCUUGCAUUAAGGGUUUUCGAAGACAUGAGGAACUCUAAUUUGAUGCCUGAUCCGGUUACUAAGGAUUUGCUUGUGAAGAGUCUCUGGAAAGAAGGGAAAAGGAAAGAGGCAGCUAGUGUUGUAGAAAGUUGUGAAGAAUCAAAUCAAGUCCUUCCACUUGUACUGCGAGGUCAUAUAUGGACAGUGAGCUGUGCUGAUCUCACAAGAGUAUAUGAUAUAUAUUCCAACAGUUUUGAAUCUGUCAGUUGUUAAGAGGGUAGAGAAGAACCUUUCGGAAAAGCACAUGAUCUUCUCCUAAGCUGUGUGUUUGCUACCUAAUUUUGACGUUUUAGUAAUUUGUUAUCGCUUAGAAUCACAAGCUGAUUAGCCUGUCAGAUCAUUAUGCUGGGAAUUUUACGGGAUGGGAACAUAUUGUGCCCUCACAACCAGAGCCAAGCAAAUGCAAAAGUUGUGAAGGUUAGGACCCCUGAUUUGUCUAGCUUUAUAUGCAUAAAUUAGUGUCCUGCUUGUUUUUUUUCUCUCUCUCUCUCUCCUUAGUUUGAAGAACGUGCCGAGCAUGGUUGGUUUAUCAUUGAUUGACUGUUAGUCAAUCAUGACAGCCCUUCAAUCAUUUUUUUAAGUAUCAGUUGUCCGAACUUGGUGUCUAUAUGCAAACGUUUAUAGCCAGCCAGCCAGCUGCAUAUGAGAUGUCUUGUCGUGGAUAGCAAUCAGAUCAGAUGAUCAUUAUUUCAGGGGGUUUCUUUCUCAAGAAACUUACUAGUCUUGUUACAGUCACGAGAUCGAUCAGAUGGUCAUUAUUUCACUACUCCUAGAGUACAAGGCAAAAAGAAAUUAGAAAUAAAAUGGAAAAGGUUGCCGUCCCAAUCCGGUGGCUCCUUAAAAUAUUGUAAUGAUGUUUUCAUACAGUAUUGUUGUUCAGAAAGCUAACAAGGAUUUGGAAUUUUCUCAGGCGACUGGACGGCAACAUGGAAUCUUUUUUAAUUCAGAAAGGAAUAUGGAAUGUGCAGCUACUUUUGAUAAUGAUACGGUACGCUAGUCUAUGAUAUUAUUUGUACAUCUUUAUCAAGGCACAAUCAGCAAAACUAAACUUUAAAGGUAAAGACACGGCACGUCAGACAAUGUCUUGUUUAUUGGGGGAUGAAAGCAACAUACAUGGGUGAUGGCAAGCAGCUUCCAAUAUCUACUUGUAGUUGGCAGCUUACAUGCCUUUCUUGUUUCACGGGUUAUUUUGAUCAAGCUCAAAGUUGGUUUUUGACAACUUUAAUCAUCCAAGCACCUAAUAAUGGUGGUAAUCUCACAACUCAUUUUGGUUCUGCUUCUUUUCCAUUUUACGACUCUUAUUACAUCACAGCCACCACCAAUAACUGAUUUCUCCUGCUCUACUUAUGGGGAGCCUACUCAUCCUUGUGACACCUAUGUGUCAUACCAUGUUCAGUCACCAAACUUCCUGAACCUCAGUAAUAUUUCUGAUCUCUUUGGAGUCAGCCGAUUGUUGAUAGCAACUGCCAGUAACUUGGCCUCUGAGGAUAGCCCAUUGGUUCCGGAUCAACUGUUGCUUGUGCCUAUAGAGUGUGGAUGCACAGGAAACAGUUCGUUUGCAAAUCUCACUUACCAAAUCAAGGGAGGUGAUAAUUUCUACUUGAUCUCGGUAACUUCCCUGGAGAAUCUGACAAAUUGGCAGGUGGCAGAAUCAUUAAAUCCUAAUUUGCCGCCAACCUUGCUGCAUCCUGGUGACCAUGUUAUAUAUUGCCAGUGCCCUUCCAGGACUCUGAAAGACAAUGGAAUUGAGUUUCUCAUCACUUAUGUCUGGCGGCAAGGAGAUGACCUUCAGACAGUGGCUGACAAGCUAGAUGCCUCUGUCAAUGAUAUUGUGCUGGCAAACAACUACAUGAAUUUCAGCGAGGCAGUAAAUCAUCCAGUUCUGGUUCCAGUUACUAGAUUACCAGUUCUCAUGCCGAUUAAUCCAUCUUCACGGCGAAGAAGAGACUCAAAGCUGCAUUGGAUCAUCGUUGUAGUAGCAAGCACUGUUGCGGCUCUUCUAAUCUUAUACCUUGUGGCCUUCCUACUUGGUUUUCAGAGCUCAUGUCAUAAGAAGAAGUUGCUGGUGCGCAAAAACUCCAACCUAGAAACUGAUGAGCUGAUGCAUGCAAAAAAACUCAAGGGAAUAGUUAGUUUCGAGCACAAGGCCAUACAUGACAAUCGUCUUCCAGGAAUUUCAGGAUAUCUAAACAAGCCAACCAUUUAUGAUGUCAAUUUGAUAUUGGAAUCCACCUUCGAUUUACAUGACUAUUACAGGAUUGGAGGAUCAAUUUAUAGAGCCAGCAUCGAUGGCCGGGUCUUGGCAGUAAAGAAAAUCAACGGGGAAGCAGCUGUGGAGCUGCAGAUUCUACAAAAAGUUAACCAUGCUAAUCUAGUCAAGUUGAUGGGAGUUUCGACUGAACUAGAAGGAUAUUUCUUCUUGGUCUAUGAAUAUGCGCAAAAUGGUUCGCUAGACAAGUGGCUAUUUCGGAAAUCUGCACUAUCGACAUCAGGAUCUUUGUCCUUCCUCAGUUGGAAUAGGAGGCUGCAGAUAGCGUUAGAUGUAGCAAAUGGCUUACAGUACUUGCAUGAACAUGUGCAACCAAGCAUCACUCACAGGGACAUCAGGAGCAGUAAUAUAUUACUAGACUCCAGGUUCAGGGCGAAGAUAGCAAAUUUCUCAAUGGCAAAGUCUGCAGUAGACUCUAUAACGACAAAACUUGAUGUUUUUGCAUUUGGAGUCGUUUUACUGGAGCUUCUUUCAGGGACCAAGGCAAUGGUGACAAAAGAAAACGGGGAGAUUGUUUUGUUGUCCAAGGAAAUCAAGACUGUGCUGGAAGUUGCAGAGAAAAGGGUGAAUAGUUUGAGGAAUUGGAUGGACCCAAACUUGGAGAACUUGUAUCCCAUUGACAGAGCCCUGAGCUUGGCAGUGUUGGCAAGGGCCUGCACCCUCGAGGAAUUGUCAGCAAGGCCAAGCAUGGCGGAAGUUGUCUUUAACUUAACAGUUUUGACACAGUCUCCCACAGAUUCACUGGAAGAGGCUUGGCCUAGUAGGCUUGAAGGACAAGAGAUUUUGCAUAUGUGCAGCCCACUCACUGCUCGUUAACGUAGUAGUACUGCAAGGCUGGAUUAAAUAUGCAAAAUUUGCAGUUUGGUAAUAAUGCCUGUAUAGAAAAUUUUCCAUUUGGUUAUUAGCUUGUACAAUAUGCUUCUCUUUGGGUUCAAUGACAAAAGCGAUCAUCAUUGAAACUUGUGCAUAAACUAUGAACUGCUACAAUGCAUAAAGUCGGAUCUAUACACUUCCAAUUGUAUCUUUGAAAGUGAAGAAACUAUUUCACCCAUGCUUGGUCGAUCUUCAGGUUCUUUAGCCAAGCACAUUAAAACCAACCUCACCAUUCUCAGCACAAGGCUCAUUUUUUGCUUUGGAUGCAGGCUAGCAUCUAUGAAGUUGCAAAGUUCAGACUCUGAAUCUUCUCCAUCCAGUAUUUCCAUGAUUGCUUCUGAGAGUAGCACCUCUCUUUCAUUCUGCCAAAAUACAGCUUCUUUUCGAGUGAUGAGCUCAGUUAAAACGACCCCAAAUGCAUACACAUCAAUCUCAGGAAUCACCAAGCCAUACUCUAAGUACUCAGGUGCCAGAUAACCUUUUGUUCCCUUUGCAAGCCUGAUUGAAGAACUUGCAUACAAGACUGCCUCUGCAGACCUUGCAAGACUGAAGUUGGCAAUCUUAGCCCUCAAAUCAGCAUCUAACAGAAUAUUGCUGCUGCUGAUAUCUUUAUGAACAUAUGGCGGUUCAGUAAAGUUAUGAAGAUAGUGAAGUCCAUUAGCAAUAUCCAAAGCAAUUUGAAGCCUAGGGCUCCAACUUAGGACUUGAUGUGAACUACCUUUCUGUAGCCAAUCCUUCAAAGAACCAUUCUCCAUGUACUUGUAGAUCAGGUAGUAUUCACCCUGGUGCUCAUAUGCAGCAGCAAGAAGGCUUAUCAGAUUGAAAUGGUUGAUCUUUCUCAGCAAAUUCACUUCACCUGAAACAUUUCUGCUCAUCUUCUUGAUAGCUACUUCUUGUCCAUUUAUAACACCCUUGAACACACGCUCACUCAACUGAUUGUCAGGGCUGAAAUCUGCAGUUGCUAGCUUUAACUCCUCCAAGUCGUAGAUUCUCAACCCUUGAUCAACUGUGGACAUGCUAUCAAGGAAAUCCUCUGGCAAGGUCAAUUUCUUCUUCCUGUUUUUCCCCUUUAGAGUUUCAAGGCCUUUUUUCUUAUGGUAGACCAAAAAUGCUCCUGUUAGGAUCAAAGACAGGAGUGCAAACGAAAUCCCAAGUACGAUCCAACCUAGAUAUCGGUUGAUUGACUUGCUUAUCUUCCACUUGGGUGGAUUAAGUGGAACAACUGAAGGAGUAUCAGAAGAUGGCGGAUGGUGAAUUAUGGUCUGAGAACUUGUAGGCUCAGAGGAGAGUGGAAUAAGAAUUGUUGUGAAGGGAAAAAUGGUUGGAUCAUCAUCUUCUUCAAACCCAUUUGCAUAAUAUAAAUUCUUCAUGCUUGCAUUGAAUCUCUGACUAAUAUUGCCAACUGUGUCACCCCAGUCGAUCAAGUAAGUGAGCAGGAACUCGGUGCCCUCAAUCGUCUGAUUUCGAGUUGGACAAGCACACCUGAGGGGCACUUGGAUUCUCUGACCAGCUGGUAAAUCAGAUUCCACAAAUGUGUUCUCUCGUAAUAACAUAUUGCAAGUUGAUAGACCUUCAUAAGUGUCGUUUGCAAUCUUGAAAUAGUUAUCUGUUUCUUGAGUUAUAUACGAGGAGUUUGCCUGAUAGUAUAAGCCAGUGCAAGAGCAACUUACUGGAACCACCACCUCCUGGCCUGUUGGCAAUACCCUUUUUGAAUCCGAGACGUUGUUGAUUCGAGAAAGCUCACUGCAGUCUGAAGAUGUCAGCUUCGAGAUUCUAGCAAGAGUGUUGUAAGGAGGUUGAGAUUUGUAUAUCAGAAAAGCUUUGCAGGAGGACUUCUGACCAUUGCAACUGUAGAGAAAAGCUGGGGAUGGACGUGCCGAGUCUUUGCCAUCACAAUCCAAGGCUGAAUUCCCAGAGUAGUUCUGCUGGCAGAUGAGCUUCGGGACUGCGCAGAGUAACAAUAGAAACCAACAAUUCAACAGAAACUGCUGCUCCAUCAAUAGAAGAAAUUUCUCAGCUGUAACCUCCUGCUAAACUUGGCAAGGUUAAAGAUACAGAAUUCCUAGUUUUUAAACUGCUGUAUCAUAUCUUUUCUUGACUCACCAUGUUGGCUGCUAAAGUCUUUUUGUUAUUGACAGGAAGGAAAAGGCCGUUUUUCAGACCCCCUUUGAAAAUGAUGCGAAAUCAAUUGUCGUCAUGUGUAUAACAUUAGGUAGGGUCUCGCCCUACCAACAACUAUUUCAUGCAUCACUGAGAAGGACAUGGGAAUGGAAUCAUACAGAGAAUCCAUUUGACUAUUUCAGUUAAAUGAUCUCAUUGAAAAAAGCGAAAAUUUAGACAUAAGUUGAUACUUUCAGCAUGGAUGUUGGAUGAGAAAUGGCUUUCUGGAGAGAUGGAGUUCUAUAUAGCUGAGAGGGAUGCCAAACAAUAUCCUUUUUCUGAUCUAUUAAAACUAUAUAAAGUGCAAACUGAUCUAAUUACUGUUUCGAACCAGUUGCACUGCUCAUUCAUACACGGAACACUGUUCAUUAGUGCAUUCAUUUUGCAAAGUUGACUCUUCCAGAAUUGCUAGUGUGGAAAAAUAUAGAGUAAAUUAAAAAACCCAACAUCCUGUCUGUAGCAGGUCAUUCCUGCGUUCCUCUCAAUGCUGGCUGGUUGCUGUGAUGUUGAUUUUACACCCCUUAACCGGUUAUCGUCGGUUUACCCUCUCUAUCCACGCCUGUUGCAGUAAGAUUUGAUUGCUAUGGGAUUCCUGUCACGCCGGCCUGCUGAAUAGUUUCGUCAGUUGUGCUUGGUCUCUUCAAUUGUCACGCAUGUCGCUCCUCAUCUUUUUAGCCUCCUUUCCAUGGCCAUAUCUGCGCCUUCUUUCUUCAAAUUCACUUCCAGAGCUUCACAUCCCCAUAUAUGCACCUUCUCCUUAUUUCAGUUUCUCUUUCAGUUAUUGACUCUUUGGAUCUCUUUCUUGGUUGCACCAUGCUCAUCCGCGACAUCUCCAAGGAAAGUUCGCCUGUGCAACAUGUAUGGAAGUUGUGCCAAUUACAGGCGGUGAUUCGAGACUCUCGUCGCCAUAACCAGUGGCAGCAAAUUAAUGGAAGAAGGCAGAGGAGGACUACUCGGAUCCGCUACCGCAGACCCCGGUUCAUCUAACGGAGAAGAAGAAGAAGACGACGGAAGCAAAGAGGUAAAUUCAAUGGAGCUCAGCUUGAUGAUGAUCUUUACUCCGAUUUUCUUUCGGUUUCCCAUCUAAUUUUUCCAUUUUUCUUUUUCCCAUUUAACAGAGUGAGUGAUCGAAGAAAAGUGCGAGGAAGAAGAUUGAAGCUUCGAUGAAGGCUGGGGAAUUGAUGUGAAGUACUUUUCUUGCAAAUUUCUUGCAAAUUUCGCUUUGGUGUGUAUACUUGAUGGGUUUGGGGGUUUAGCCUAGGGGUGUUCUUUGCUAUUGUAUUUUUGGGGUCAGCAGCUUUGUGUUGUUGGCUUGCAUGUUGAUGUGUGGAGUUAUUUUCGGUUUGAUCUUCCUUUUGUCGUAGCCAAUUGUGUUGUAUGGGUUUUAAUCUCCGCGGUAUUUCAUGGCUAUAUUUUUUAAAACAGCUACACUUUUCAUAAGUUUUUAUGUGCUCAUACCUACUGCCUUCUUUUUUUUUUUGAAUUCAUCUAUACACAAGUGAGUACACAUUUAUUAUAAAUGUACUAACGGGAAAGCGACAACACGCGUUACACAAAACUAGUUGAGUACUGAUAUUCUACAACAAAGGUGAAUUGACCAGAUCAUAAUAUAAGCAAGGUACAAAUAUUCCUAACAACUCUUGGCAGCAAGCAAGCAUGUAAACAUAAUCUCCAAGUGGUUGUGUUUUUUCCUUUGCAGCGAAAAUGACAGCAAAAGUAUAGGGCAGAUGCAAAAGACAAAGAUGAGAGACAGGAAAACAUCACAAUGGAUGCUGACUUGUCAAGAGCUGUUUCAUGGAUUCCUAUAAUGUGAGAGGUUAUUAGACAAUUCCCAGGAUAGCGACGCUGUUAAGAUUCUUGAAAGAGAUUGCACGAGCUCGUUCAUAGCUGGCCGAUUUGCAGGGUUCUUGUUUAGGCAGCCAUGAACCAACCUCAGUACAAAGACAGCAAGGUCUGUUCGAUAGUUCCCUUCCACUGAUGGGUCCAGGAAUUGCCUGAGAUUAUCCUCUUCACCAUCUUCUGCAUCAGAAAGAAGUUCCUCCAAUACAUUUGAUAACCCAUUAGCCCCCUCUCUAUAAAAGGAAGCAACUUCUUUCCCAGCUGUCAUCUCGAGAAGAAGAAUACCAAAUGCAAAAACAUCAAUCUUUGUAGAGACGAGACCAUUCUCCAGAUACUCAGGAGCCAUGUAACCUUUAGUCCAGAAAUAUGUCUGGUCAGAUUGAAUUCACCUCAGCUGAUCUCGCCUGUGCUAAGUUGGCUAUCUUGACCCUGAAAUCUUUGUCAAGAAGCACGUUCCUACUUUUUAUGUCCUUGUGGACUUGUGGAGGACUAGUGAAACUGUGUAAAUAGUCAAGUCCCAAAGCUACAUCCAGAGCAAUCUGUACUCUUUGAGGCCAAGUCAAUUCCUUGCCGCCAUUGGUUGAUGAAUAAAUCCAGUCGCUUAAUGCCCCAUUAGCAGCAAACUCAUAAACCAGAUACCAAUAUCCAUCAGUCAAGUAUACACACCAAGGAGACGAAUGAUGUUGGAGUGGUUUACCUUAUUUAGUAAAUUUAUCUCCUUGGAUACAUCCUCAUCCAUUUUCUUGAUAGCAGCAGGAUCACCAUUGAUAUUGGUAUGAUAAACAGAGCCUUUAAUCCAGCAUUUUGGACUGAAGUUAUCCGUUGCAGCAACUACCUCUUCAAAUGUGUAUACUUGAAUGGAGUGAGCAAUGCUAGAUAAUCUCUCCAACAAGGAUCCUUCUUGACCCUAUAAUUCAUCCACUUUCUUCGAUGUUGCCUUGUCUACCACCUCAAAGCUUUCAGAAGUCACGCUGGAAAAGAUAAUUCAAAUUUCAAAAUGAGAUUUGGGAGUUGGACUGACUUUUUUGGAAAAGAAAAAUUCGAAGAGGCGAGAGAGAGGUAGAUUGUGUGGAUUUAAAAGUUAGAAAAUUGGUUAAGAGAGUUCGAAAUUUAUAUCUAAUAAUAUAUGAUGAAAAUAGUUCGAAAUUUAAAUUAAAUAUUUUAUAAUCGUUAGCACAUACAUUCUCACUAACACUAACAAUCAAAAUUCUUAAAAAAUGUAUUCUAACUUCAUUUGGCUAUUAUUUGAAGGAUUGAACAUGGUAAAAUCUAAAUUUUUAGUCAUUCUCAACGUGCAUGUCAAAUAUUAGCUAAUUUGAAAUUUUUUAUUUUUCAUAUCAAAAUUGGUCAAUUUCGGUGUAUAGGAAAGUAGACCAUUUUCACAAUAAAUUUUCAAAAUUUUCAAAUCGGCUCAUAUUUGACUUACACGUUGGAGAUUACCAAAAAAUNNNNNNNNNNNNNNNNNNNNNNNNNNNUGGAGAUUACCAAAAAAUCAAAUUUCACUAUGGUAAUCCUGUAAAUAAUGGUCCAAUGAAGUUAAAAAUCAAUUUUACUUGGUGUUAUGUUUGUGAUAGAAAUCCGGUGUCCAGUUUAGUAUUUAGCAUUACUCUCUCUCCGGGACUCCGAUUGGUGCAAGGUUAGAGUUGUUGGAAAGAUAAUUCAAUUACCUUUCUACCUAUAUAUUGUGGAUCAUCAGAUUCGAAUAGACCAAAAAAAUAUGCUCAAUUAAAGUUGACAAUGAGAAUAUUAAAAUAUAAAGGUUUUGAAGAGUAUUUGUUUGUAAGUUAAGGGGGCUCGACCAACCCCUCCGUCCUUACUAGUUUCGUCAUUAAUGGUGUGAAAGCAAGUUUAGUAAAAAUGCAAAAUUUCUUUAUAUGUUAUCAAUUAUGAGGAAAAUAUAAACCUAUAUGACUACUGAAUGAUCUAAAAUAUGAUAUUGAUAUUUUUGAUUAGCUAGUUAUUAGAAUUUCAAAAUAUACAAAUAUUUCGAAUAGUUAUCUUGUCGUGGAUGUAGCCGCCAUAAGGUGAUAAGAACUAGAGAUGAGAAGCAAGUACGAAAUGAAAGGAUGAGUAAUAAUAAUAAAAUGAACUAACAAUUGCCAACGUUUAAACUUGAUACAAAAUCUGGCACAGAUUUUUCAUAAUAAAUUUUUUGGCAUAAAUUUCAAACAAUGUUACUCCGUUAAAUUAAAAUUCACGGUAAAAUGACGGAAUUUGAUGUGGCUAAUGUUUUAUCCUACAUGGAUUGACAAAAAAAUAAAAUACAAAAAAUUACAUAGUUAGCACGGUAAAAAGAAUUAUGUGGUCCACAUUAACAACCCCUUAUCUUCUCUCGUUAGAUUCUCCCUCUGAAACAGAGACCAAGGAUCCGAUCCAUCGGCUUCUAUGAUGCUCGUUGGCAGCUGAGUCUUGUGACAUCCCGACGGCUCAUGGAAAUCCUCCAGCUGAAAGUAUUCAUCGUUUGUUUCUUCGUCACAGUUCCUAUGAGGAAGCGAGAGCUAGAUCGAGUAAUAGCAAGUCAAUCCGAGUCCACCUGAGCCGCUCAAAACAACGUGGAAAGCUUCGAUCUUUUUGGCCACGAUGGUCGUCCAUCCAAAGAAGAUGUCAGCGAUUAUACAGAGACGGUCGCCGUCGAUGCCAGCGAGAUCGACGACGAGGGAUUUGAACGCAGGGCGUAGGGUGGUGGAGGCUUGGAGGAGGCGGAUGAUGAGCGGGUAAGGGAGGACGUCGGUGUUCUCUGUUCCCGGAGGAAGACGUUGAUGGUGGACGUCGGAAGGAGCGAUGACCGGAGCUUCUUGACGUUGAGUUGCAGGUCAGAACAACUUGCAUUUCAGAAGAAGAAGAAGAAAAAGAGAAGGAAAGUAUGGGGGAAGGUGGGAGGUCCAUCAAACACAAAAGAUUGAGCCUUUCUUAUCGUGACCACUGUGGACGAUGACCACAUUAUGGAUCGGAGGAGAGGUGGAAGGAGCGGUGAAAGAAUUAAAUUAAAUGAAAGAGAAGAAGGUAACAAAAAUUAAACCAACCCCAACUCGACUGAAGUGACAUGUUAUGUUGAUGUAGAGUCCUAUGUGGCAUUGUAAUGUUCCUUCAUCAUAAUGCUGUCACAAUGUUGUCACAUUUUCGGUUAACUAUGACGGUUAAUUAUAAAAUCAACAGAUUUUUACUAGCGAAAUUUAAAAUAUGGGCCAGAAAAUAUAUUAUAAAAAAUAUAUGUCAGAUGGAAUAUUGGGCUAAUAAUAAAAGUUACAUGAGGACAUAAAUGAUAUAACUGAAUGAAUGAAUAGUAGGAGGAUGAUGAAAUAUAUAUAGAUGAGAAGAAGUGGAAUUGAAUGGGAUUUGGAUGACACGUGGAACAGGCUGUAAUUCACCAAGUUGCAUGCAGCGCAAUGUCGCCGUGUGCCUCUGUCCCAUCUGCUGCGUGUCUCUUUCUCUUAGCUAAUGUUUUGGCACCAUCAUAUAUAUGUACAUGAAUUUUUUAUGCAAAAUAAACAUCCAAAUCUUUCUAUUAAAUUUCAACAGAUUGACGGUUUAAAUAAAUAUACCAUUCCAUUAGAUUUUGGAUCCAAACUCUGUUUAGUAUAGGAUAAAGGUGACAUUGGAUGGAUGAUGAGUACUUGGAAAUGGAAGGGAAAAUGAACCUGGUCGUCUUCAUGGUACUGGUUCUCAACGACGUCUUCCACUGAUCUGUCUGCCCAUCGAUUUCCCUUUGUCAGUUGUCUACCAAUAGGCAGACCCACAAUAGUUGUUGUUCAUCACAAUCAUAGUACGUACCAAUUCUCUCUUUAAUUUCCAUCUGCAAGUAUGGUGAGAUGGCACAACGUAGCUCUCGAGGUAACUUUUUAGUAUACUGGAAGUGUUGUACCGGCCUGAAAGAUGAAUCUUCCGAUGUCCAAACCACCAAUGAGAAAUAUAUGGAUGGAUGUAGAAGAAAUUGAACCAAUGAAAACCCAUGCAGAACAGAAGAACAACACGCACUUGUUCUCUCUGCCCACUAUUAUUGUUGUCCGUUUUUUUUCCUUCAUCAGUUUCCACAACAUGUCAACAUUUUCUUGUCAUUUGAACCAACGGACAGCAGCAGCAGCAGCAGCAAUAUCAAUGGGAUCAAUUCCAAGAAUAUCCGCAAAUCCUUCAAUUCAAGGGGUCAGUUUACUGUAUUAAUAUCAAUGGGUUUCAUGAAGUUAGGUGUAGGGGGUGGGGGCACUGCUCUUGUCUCUUGAAGAAUCAUCGUAAUAGAAUUGGAGAAUAUGCGGCGUGCGAGAUUUGGUUAACAUAAAAAAGGACAAUCAUGGAGGAAAUUUGACAGGGAAACAGACCUGUUGCUUUCUCAUUCAUCUACCAACGUACAUUGAUAGCUAAUACCUUAUUAAUCUCACAAGAUGGUCGAUGUGUCUCCGACUUUCAAAUGUAUGCGUUUCAGAUUGAAAUUAAUUGGUGCUGCAUUAUUCAACUACACUUGUUACAUACCUGCACAAUCAUUUGAUGAUUCCAUAUACUCAUCAGUUCUGUUUACUAAUAAAAGUAUAUCAAAACGGUGCAAAGAAUAUUAGAAACUUCUCAUAAUGAUGGUUUUUCUUACGUAUAAAAAAAUAUAUGGGAAUAGUCUAUCGAGCAUUUGGUUUGAAUGGAGUUUCGAUCAUUAUCUGAAGCAUUAAUGCGGUUAUUUUUUUUGUAUUUAUAGGAUCCGUUGGAGAACCCUGCACAGGCAGGGACUCGUUCUGCAUGAUCAGUGAGUGACCAAUAUGUAUUAUUUUAGUUUCAAUUUAUUUUCCUAAAUUAUUUUAUACUAAAACGUGUCUAAAUUUUUUUAUUUUUAAAGCAUCUUCAUCCUUUUUUUUUACAAUUAAGAAAUAAAGUAAAAGAUGAAAUAACAUUUCCAUUAAUAAUCUCUAGAAAUACAUAUAUGAAACGUUUUACUAAGAAGUAUUUAGAACUAGCAAAUACCAUAUAACACACACUCAACUACUUUUAAAAAGUAUUAAAAAUUUAUAACAAUGAAAAUAAUUUAAAAUUGAUAAAUAAGUUAAACGAUGAAAAUAGUCAUAUCAAAAUAAAUUAAAAUUUUCGAUCAAUAUAAAAUUUAAAAGGGGAUAAAAUAAAAAUUAUAUCAUUAUUUAUUUCACAAAAUAUGUCAAAAUUAAAUUUAAAAUCUUCAAAUUACCAAAUACAAAUUUAAAUUAUACUAUCUGAACAACUCCAAGGUAUUCCCAUCGAAAUAGAAACGAAACAUUAAUUUUGGUAGAAAGAAAAGAAAUAAUAAAAAACGAAGGGACGGAGAGAAUAUAAAAACAAAAAAAGAAAAGAAAGGGGCGUCUCGGUAAAUUAAGAGCAGCAGGGCUACGGCUUUCCGUAUUUCCUCUCGUCUUCCCAAUAUAUAUAUAUAUUUAAAUGCACUUCUGUUUCCAUCUUCUUCAGAAACUCGGCCUUUUUCUGCUUACUGAGCUUCCGUUCAUUCUUAUUAAACAAAACAAAAAAAGGAAGAAGGAGCUGAUACUCUUGUCCAAGAAUGGGUUACUGCGUGAAAGAAGGGAAGAGUUGCAACGAAUGGGUGGAGAGGUACUUCAAGGACUGCCUCUGCAACUUAAAAGACGAUUUCUCAUUCGGAUUCGGUUUGGUCAGUUUGGUUUGCUGGGGAGUCGCCGAAAUCCCACAAAUCAUAACCAACUUCCGCACUAAAUCCAGUCACGGCGUCUCCCUCGCCUUUCUUCUCACUUGGAUCGCUGGGUCAGUCACUCACUCUCCUAUCUAAUCUAUCAAUCUCUCUUCCGAUUUUAUUUUUAUUUAAAAUAAAAUCGAUGGGUGCGUGCAGAGACAUUUUCAAUUUGGUGGGUUGCCUUCUCGAGCCUGCAACGGUGAGUUCAUUCAUCCAUAGAUAGAUAGAUUGGGCGGAUGUGGGCGGCUGCAAGGAUAUGCACCACCCAACUCUCCCUUUUGCCUGCUAAAUAUUUUUAUGUCUAUUUAUUAUUACAUAAAUAAAUGCUUCAAUUGUCAUCUUCCAUAUCUAUUAUACAUUCACCGACUCCAUUUCCAUUUUAUUUUUGUUGUACAUGCAGCUCCCCACUCAGUAUUACACAGCUGUGGUAAGUAAGCUCAACCCUUAAACUUCUCCUUUCAAUUAACUUCCUCUCCUCGUUUUUACUAAUAAAUAAAAAUAAAAAGAUUCCCUUUUAUGCCUGUAGGAUUUGAUGCAGAUCUGCUCCUCCUCCUCUAUAUCUGUUUCCGAUAUUCUAGGGGAAACUUAUUAUCUGCUCAAAAUUUACCCAGCCCAUAAAUUUCACUGUGAUUUCUUAUCCUUCAAAUUUUGUAAGCUUUUUACCCAAAAGUAAACGACAGAAAAUAAGUUCAUGGUCCAUAGGAAGUCCAGAUGAGUCAGACCAAAACAACCCAACCUCGGCCUAUCCACUGGGCCCGACCGGAUAUAUGUCGUGACCCAACUUGAUAAAUAACAACAUUUCUUUAUUAUUCAUAACAAAAAACAACAUUUCUUAUUUCUGUCUUGCUCUGUGUUUUGUUUUUUUGUUUGUCUUUUGGUUUUUAAUUUCAUAUAAUGUCCAUUAAUUCCGCAGCUGUACACAACAAGCACCGUGGUACUAGUGUUACAGGGCCUCUACUACGAUUACAUAUACAGAUGGUUGAAAUGCCGCCAGAAGCACCGCAAGGUACUAAUAUAAUAGUAAUACUCACUCAAAUCCUGAUCAUGAGUAUGCUAUUAUUAUUAUUAUUAUUAUAGCUUUCCCUAAUUUGACAAUAUUGGUAAUGAUUAGGUUGAUGAAGAAGAAGAAGAUGAAAAACAACCAUUGCGAGAGGCAAAGGCGGUUGAUGAAUCUGGCAUCCCAAUCCCUACUAGAGCAGUCCCCGUUCGUAGAGAAUUUUACUACGUGUAAUUAUCAAUGGAAACAUAUCAUCUUUGAUUUGUUAACAUUGUGUUUUCAUUCUUGUUCAUGUCACUGAAUUCCAAUAUAAAGAAAUCUAUGGUGCAAUGCAGGUCAGCAAGAUCAUUAGCGGGGAGUGGUACACCACCAUUUAGAAACUACCUUAGAGCGGCCAAAAGCGGGCCUUCAGCUGUGAGGCUUAUCGACGAUGACUGUUCCUCAUCGGAGGAUGAAUCGUCGGCAGCACUUGCUGCUUUAUCAUCAUCAUCGUCACAGCCUAGGCCUAUUCCUCGAUCCGUAAGCCACUGCCACUGCCAAUGCAACUUGUGUCUUUAUCAUUAAUGAUAACUGAAUCAUUAAUGGAUCGCAGGCUGGUUACGGGACUUUUUUGGCAACAUCACUUAACUUGCCAUCCCAUGGAAAUGCUCUGGCACAAGCUUGCAUUGGACUUACCGGUAGAAAGCUUUUACAAGUAAGGAUAUCACUCUGUCCAUCUGGUAAGGUUAUCAUUCUUAUAUAUAUAUAUAUAUGGUGACUAAGUUGUUGAUAGAUAAAUAAAUAAAUAGGAAGGUGGAAUGGAGUCCAGUGCAGUGGGUCAAUGGCUCGGAUGGCUGAUGGCUGCCAUUUACAUGGGUGGCCGAAUCCCACAGAUAUGGCUCAAUGUCAGUGGUUUUGUCAUUCCUAUUUAAUUUGAGAUUCCAAUUAUUCCAUUCCAAUUAAUCCUCUAAUUUUGGCUGCUGCAGAUCAAAAGAGGAAGCGUGGAGGUAGAGAUUGAUCAUAUCUAGCAAACCUUUUCUUUCUUUUGCCAUAUUAAUUGACGCUGACACUUAUUCCUCUUGGGACUCAGGGAUUGAAUCCUCUGAUGUUCAUCUUCGCACUGAUUGCAAAUCUAACCUAUGUUCUGAGGUUUUGCUUAUUUCCUUUACCAUCCAUUCUCAAUAUUGUUUCUAAACAGUAAACAUUCACUGACUACACAAGUUUUGGUUUAAUUUGGCGGCAGCAUUAUCGUUCGAACGACAGAGUGGGACAAAAUCAAAGCCAACUUGCCAUGGUUGCUGGAUGCUGCUGUCUGUGUCCUCCUUGAUUUAUUCGUAUCCUUUGAUCGCAUAACUUGAAAGCUAACAUGAGUUGGAUAUGUUGUAAUGUUGUUCAUGUAUAUAAUCUGGCUUUUCUUUAUUGAGAGAUUUGUUAUCCAUUAACAAUGUUUACUACAGAUAAUAAUGCAGUACAUCUACUACACAUACCUUCGAGACAGAGGUAAUGGCCAUGAGCGUGACGACUAUGAAGGAUACCGGGACUACUACAACAAUGGAGAUGUUAGUAGGAAACAAACCUAUUAAUCCUUGUAUGAGAGGCAAUAUCUAUUCCCCUUCUUCUUUCUUUAACCUUUUCCUUAUUGUUAUCUGUUGUAUUAUAGUUAAAUUAAUGGUGAUUAAUGCUCAACUACGGCCCUGUUCUUGUUGCUGUUUAUGCCCACCAUUCUAACGGUAGCAUUAAACAAAAAAUUAUGAUAAAUAGUGUUCAGUCCAGUUCGCUUGGGGUGGAUAAUAGUUGCCAUUGGGUCUGAACGUCGGGUUCAACACUUUUCAAUCCCUCGCAUGUAAAAUAACCGUAGUAGUGAGUUCAGGCGUGAUUUAAGAAUGUGAAAGAGGAGAGAGACUAAAGUUCGCAGGCUGCUCCUAUGUAAUAUUAGUCCACCAUGUAGACGAUUGUAGCUUGGUCCUGCAACCCUUUCAUCCAUAUAUUUAUCAAGGAGAACACUUUAUCCUGGAAUGUUCGUUCGAGCAGCAGAAAUAGUUUCUAACCUUCCGUUUGCCAGAUCGGUGGUGGUGGAUUCUGUGGGUAGAGCAUGGGGUAUCUGGGUGCUAUGGAACUGGCAGCCUUCAUCUUGCAGGUUAGCAAAUCGACGUUUGGAAUGUGGGUUGGUGAAUUUGAGGUUCGAGAGACCAGCCUUCACGUGGUUCAGGCACGAUUCAAGGUACAACCUCCUACAGGAGCGGUUGGAUAGGGAGCUCGCAAAUUUGGAGCGGCGGUUGCUGACUACUUCCUAUAACUCAUUCCGAUCGUAGACUGAUUGUGUUCAAAACAGAUGGGAUUGUGGAACCUCUCCACAAUAAACCUUUUCGUUUUGAGGUGAUGUGUCUAUCAGGAAGGCAACCAGGCUAUUGACUACGACCAUUUUGCUACUUGGUGUACAUCAUAUUCCUUUAGACCAUAGAAUGUGCAGAGCUUCAAACAAACACGAACCAUUCGUCAUUUGGAAAAAGCGGUCAUACAGCUUUUAUCACACACAUUACAAGAAAUAAUUACUAUAGAAAAAAAAUCCAUAAAUAGUAGUUGCCUUAACCAAUACAGGCAUGGCGAUGAUAUUGAUACUAGUCGAGAAACACAUUAUUCUCAAUAAUUAAUGAGCUAUGAUAUACGAGUAGUAUUACUAGCUGCAAUACGCAUUAUCUACACAACAUCGACCUUUUGAAAAGAACCUCUGUCUGCAUGCAUUUAACAGCCCGAGUAGAGACUUACUUACGACCAUAGAAGCGCGAGGACUACAACGAAACCAAUCAACAGCAGAAGGUUCUUCAAAGCAUUGUCAGCUUGAUGCGUUCGAGUGCUUGGUGGAGGGAACCAAUUGGCAUGGCCACCAUGGAAGUUAUGGAACCCAUAAGGGAAACCAGAUGGACUUCCAUAUACAGGAGCAUCAGGGAAACCAUGAAACUGAACGUUGAACAACGAAGGAAACAGAGAUAGACCACCAAAUGCACUUGACAAUGUGAAGUUUCCCAUCCUAGUGCUGGCCAUUGGGACAAAUCCACCCAUCGACCCAAACCCGUAAUUGGGGAAAGCAUUGUUGUUCGGGGGAGGAGCUGUGUCUGGUCUUUGGCCAGUAGGCCUUCUGGGGAUGUCAUCGAUUCCAGGAUAAGAUUUUGAUCGAGGAUCAGCCCUCGAUUUACCUCUGCCAUAGAGAGGGACCAACUUCUCCUCCUGAAUCAGAGCCUUGCAAACAGGGCACUCAUGGGAGUUGGAGUGGUGAUGAAGCCAUCUAUACAGACAAGGCCAGCAGAAGAGAUGACCACAAAGUGUGACUAUUGGGUCCUGAGCUAAUUCCAAGCAGAUAUUGCAUUCAAAAUCACCAGCAUCCCCUGAAUUGUUUCCGGAAUAGGUUGAGCUUUCCGGGGUCGGCGAACUCAUGGAUUCCCCAAAUUCACUUGCCAUACUCGCCUUCAAACCCUAUAUCUGCAAAUCAAAUUAAAAAGCAUCAACGUCCCUACCGGUAUAAAGAGCAUCAAUUGAGCGUGUCUCUUAUCCAACUCUAUAACAUUAAGUUCGAACAAUCUACUUAACGUUAGUACAUAGUAGAAUCACCCAAAUAAAAACCCUAGAAUUCAUCAGCUGAGUAAAAGAAACUGGAAGAGGAUGGAGGCUAACACAAAUUAACUAUUACAUACUUAAAAGGGACCGAAACACAGCAAAAUACUUGUGAUUCGGGAAAGUGGAUCGGAACCCAGAAGCUUUAAAUUCUUUGGAGAAUAGAGAUACCUUUCUCGCAGACCAAAUUUAUCAAAGUGUAGAGGAAAUUUCUGGAGAAAAUUGCGAUGAAAAUUACCUCUGUAGAAACGUCCCUUUGCCAACUACCAAACCUUGUACCUAUUUGUUUCUUCCCCCCCCCCCCCCCCAACUCCCACGUCGGGUUGUCUUCUCAAUAUCUCAUCACUCUCUCGUGAGAUCCUCCUAGUUCGUAAAUCUGGCCCGCCAGUCACUUGUGGGCUGGACCUUUGAAAACAAUGGCUUCAAACGAGGUUUUUGAACAGUUUUGAGGUUUCUGGCCCAAAAUCCUGUCUUCAAAUUAUUGGGCCUGUUCUUGGAAAAAGAGCUUUAAUAGAGUGAAGUGAAAUAGUUUGAUCUUCAAGACCAGUAGUCAAUUUCAUUUCUUUUCCCCAUGAAUUUUAUUUCGUUUAUAUAUUAAAAAAAAACCACAAGUAAUUUGGGGAAAAGGGAUCCCUUCCUCUUUUCUCACUUUCUUCCUCCUUCCCUCCCUUCUUUCGGCAACAUAUCAAUCAUAUAAACCGCCGUCCAACCUAACGGUGGUGCUGCCUUCUCCGCCGCACCGUACCACCACCGUUUCAGCCACAUCUUCCUCUCUUUUUAUUAAGUAAACAACAAAAUCCUAAUGAUGCAGACGUUGCAAUUCUACCUAUCGGAGCACCCGUCCAUCGUGAAAUUCCGGUGGAGCCACACCCAAUCGUGGGGAUCAACGUGGUCCUUCCUGGUAACCUCAAUCGCCUUCUACCUAGCCCUCGCCACAUUCGUCCACCUCCUCCUCACCCUGUUAGUCCGCCGCCGCCGGCCCAUCUCGUUGGGCCCAAUCCCAGCCCUCCACAGCCUCACCAUGGCCCUAAUCUCCGCAACCAUCUUCGCUGGCAUCCUCCUCUCCGCCGCCUCCGAGAUCCGAGAAACCCGGUGGUUCUGGCGCCGCUCCAAGACCCCUCUACAGUGGCUCCUCUGUUUCCCGCUCGGUACCCGCCCUUCCGGUCGGGUAUUCUUCUGGUCCUACAUGUACUACCUCUCCCGGUUCGUCCACAUGUUUCGGACCUUCCUCAGCAUCUUCCGAUCAAGGAGGCUUGUCUUCUUCCAGCUCUUCAACCACAUCAUCCUCACCGUUAUGUCCUUCCUCUGGCUGGAAUUCUCCCAGUCUUUCCAGGUCCUAGGGAUUAUGCUCGCAACCAUGGUUUAUUCCGCGGUCUACGGCUACCGAUUCUGGACCGCAAUCGGGCUGCCUGGAGCAUGCUUCCCCUUUGUCCUUAACUGCCAGAUUGCCCUCCUCGGAAGUAACCUGGUAUGCCACGUCGGUGUAUUGAUGCUCCAUUUCAUGAAAGGUGGGUGUAACGGAAUCGGAGCUUGGGUGUUUAAUUCGGUGCUAAACAGCGCCAUCAUGCUCUUGUUCCUCAAUUUCUACCUACGGAUGCAUCUUCUUAACAACAACAGCAAGAACGACAGAAUGAAAGAGGAAGAAAAAGAGGUGGAGAUUGAAGGCAGCGGAGGUCAGAAUCAGAUUGCGGCGGCUAGGAAACAUAAUUAAUAAUGAAAAAAACGCAGUGAUUAAAAGAAAUCUACAAAAUUUGUUGAAGACAAAGAGUAUGUGAGAAAUGCCAUUACAGAGACUGGAAGUUUCUUCCCAUUGCUCUCUGGGAAGAGCAGAAGACGAUGAAACAGAAAAGAAGAAAAGGGAGGGAGGGAUAAUAUAUAUAUAUAUAUAUAAAUGGAAAACUGUAUUAUUCAGUAUAUAAAUUUUUUAGAGGCGGUUAAGAGGGGAUCACCAAAAGUAGAGCACAAUAUUUUUUCUUGGUAAUUUCUUCUUCUUCGUCUCAUUUAUUGUUUGCUUGUAAAUAAUUAGGCUAAUUACUAACCAACAAGUGAAAAUGAUAAUAAUAAUUUGAUCAUUACUUGGUGCCAUCCUGAAUUUUGAGUGUCUGAAACUAAUUAAUUGGCAUUUUCACCAACAAAAUAUUAUUGGCAUCAGACUAUUUGCCAUACCACGUCCAGGGUCGAUUCGAUUUCGAUAGUCGCCCACCCCAAAAUCGACCCGAUCACCAGCGAAAUAGUUGCCAUAAGCUACAAUGUCGUCAAGAAGCCGUACCUCAAGUACUUCUGAUUCUCAGAAGAGGAAGGCACUAAAAAAAAAUCGAUAAAUCCUCUGAUGUCGAGAUAGCGUUGGAUCAACCGACGAUGAUGCAGGCACUAUUCUUUCGGCAAACCUAAAGUGUUUUCCUUUCGACAGUUACGAUUUUGAUUUGUUGUGUUGAUUUAGUCCUGUGCGGCAUUGCGUCGAUGAGGGACAUCCAAAGUUGUCAAUUUUGCAAGUUAACAAACCACAAAGGAAAGAAAUGCUCAUGAGAAGUGGGCAUCAAAUAUGAGGGAUUUGUCGUUCGUGUUAAUCUAUAAUCCAUAAAAUAGACAUUUACUGCGAGUUACGGAGAAAGAGCAGCAGCUGAAGCCUGGAGAUAACUACUAUGACAAAUCUCCAAGUUUCCUUCCUUUCGUCUCAGGCUGUUAUGCCAUCUUUAAAACACGGCUCCUGCAUUUCAUAGUGAUACCCUCAGAUCGAGCUACCAGGAUUAAUGAGUUUAGUCUUCCUUGUCCCCUCGUGUGCUUUCUGCUUUAGAUGCUUCUGUAGUACCGUCCAUCUGGUCACGGGUGCCAACCCGAAGAGGCUCCUCUUUGCAGAUGUUCUGGAUCAGCAUGAACACACCAACAAGGAACACUAAUAUGUACACAAGUCUCACUCCAAUCAGUGAAUUGAUGAAACUCAUCAAGGAUGGACCACUCAUCUUUCUCAUCUCAGUUCGCCCUGCUCUGUAUCCCUCAAGAAAGUGAGUGAUUUGGGACCCUUGGUCUUCCUCCUCUAUUCUUUCCGAUCCAAGAACCUUCAGAUAUACAGACAAAUGUACAACAUCAAUAUUUUUGCAAAGUGAAGACCAAUGUCAAUGCAUAACUAAAAGACCCACAAAAAGCAAUUCAAUUAUCGAUCAUAAAUAAAUUUGAACAGUAUGAACUUCUCUACCACGGGAACAAUAACUGAGAGGAAAAAGUAACAGAAACCGACAAGUGCAGAGAAUCCAGUCACACGAAGCACAAUCUACAGACCCUUGUAAGAGUUUCGAAUUCACAGGACGACACCCCUAAGAAGCUUCACAUGACCCAGGGAAUAUGACGACCUAGGGCAGCAAGCUUUGUUCAUCUUUUACAUAAAUGAACACUCAAAACGUUACUUUACAAGAUGAACAUAAAGUGGACACUUCAAAUAGCAAGUAAUACAGGUAUUGACCAAAUAACUGAUUCUGCAAUGGAUAACUUAUUUCAAGUUUCAACUGCCUACAUAAUUCCUUCUCUUAUGAUAACUUUUACGUCUUACUACUAAAAAUGUCCGGCAUUGACAGAGUGAAGAAGAAACAAUUGAGGUCCUGGUGGAAAUCCUAGAUAUCCCAGCAUCACUUAUGUUAACAAAAUGUUGAGGACUUACCACAUGAUACUCCUCAUUUCCGUCCCAAACAACUGAUCUUGGUAGAUUCUUUUUGGCAGUGUCACCAAAUGAAUCAGUAAACUCCCCCCAUUGAUUGACUCCUACAUAACCAAAUACUAAGUCACGAUUGGCUGAUGCUGCAGCCUUCAGUAACUUUAUCAACUUUUGUGAUUUCUCUUCCAGUUCAUCCUCCACAAUGGUUAGGACAAUUUUCCUCUGGUCAUCUGCCAAAAUCUUCAGUGUGUCAUGGUUGAUUGGCACAGCAAGAGGUAGAAAACUUUGUUUGAUGAAGGUCUCCAGAAACUCUUCUGCAAAUACGGAAAAGUAUAGAUAAGUUAGUGUAGAUGGUAAGUCAACAAAGCUCAAGGAAAUUAUAAUUUCGCAACACACAAGCAAGCAGAAAAGUACUGAAGAAUAAUAAUAAAGACAGCAAGAGAGACAACGCACAACGGUAACACUGGCAUAGUAAUCGUGGAAAUAAACAGAAAUUCCAUGUUUUCUCUCUUUCAUUCCCCAAUUGUUGUCCUUAAAAUCAGUAUACAAGGGGUUCAGGCAUUCGAAGUAACAAACAUAAAACAACUCAUUCAAGAACAGCAUGCAGUAACAACAUUGGAGCACCAGAACAGAAGCUCAAAGAAUAAACGACAUGAAUUACUGACCUUCAAACGGGCCAUAAAAUAUGUUCUGCUCAUUGUAAGUAGGAUGAAUGGAAACCAAUGCUGGAGUCUUGUCGAAGUCAUACUGAAACGUAACAUCAUCUGAGAAAUCGUUUGCCACAGCAAACCAGGCUUUCUUCUUGUACUUGACAGCUAAGUUUGAAAUUGCAGUCUCAUUUAACCCAAAACCCAAAUAUAUUGGGAAGAAAGUGCCAGCCCCUUCCACAAAUUCCUUUAUUGAAGCGUCAGAAUUAAGGGUCGCAACAUCAGGGGCAACAAAUUUCUUCAAGUAACGAACAAGCAAAUCAGCUUUCCUCGGCCCAUAAUAGUCAAUGGGAACCCCAUGGAUGAAGACCUUUAGAGUUGGAUACCCACUGCAGAACAUUUCAUGGAUCACGUCAAGUAAUGUAGCAUUACACGUGUAAUCUUCAACAACAUACUCUAAAUCUAAAACAAGAGCAAAAAAAAGGCGAUGCUUCAUACUCAACGUCGUAUUUAUCAGCGAGACGUCUGUACUUCUCAGCAUUGAUUUUUGAUAUAACAAUGGCGUCCUUCGAUUUCGAGAGAAUCGCAGCUGCCGCAUCCAACUGCAACCCGAAACAGUUAACAAAACGGGAAUUCCACCGACCCAAAAACAAAAAUGUACAGAAACCGAUCCGAUCCAUCCGAGAAAUACAAACAACCCUAAACCCCGCCAUCCACCACCUAGAAAAGAAACGGCAAGUUUCAGAUUAAGAGAAAUAAGUUAGGAACCUCGGGAGCUAGACGUUUGCAGUGGCCACACCAAGGUGCGUAGAAAUCGACGAAGAUGUGAGCGAAGGUGGAAAUGUCGGGUUCGAAGUUUGACUCGUCUAGCUCCAACACCUUACCAUCGAGUUUGAAUUUCUCAGGUUCAGCCGCUGCAAAGGCAAUCAACAGAGUAGAUAUCGAAAAGCAGACGACGAUUGAUAAUCUCAUCUUUGUUUCCUCCUUACGGCAGUCGCUGAUCUACUACUGUUCUGGCUUAUUGUUAAAUCGAAGUGUUCCAGUUUUGAAAAGUGGUAAGAGUCUUGUAAAAGUCAAGGCUUGGUACUUCGCUUUUAUUCUCUUGCCUUAUCUGGUCCUCCAUCUAUAACAUUUGACGAUAUGACUAAUAAUAUUUUGCUGCAUGAUCUUUUUCGGGUCUUCUACGUAACAAUUCAAUUCACACCCCGAACUUUCAGUAUUUAACAAUCUCCCUUCUUCAACAUGUUAAAGUAUUGGGAUGCCAGUAAUUACGAUUUAUUUAACAAUUUAAUUUUGUCGAUAUUAUUUGUUUUGUUUUAUAUUAACAUAAUAUUUAUUUAUUUGAAAUUUGAAAUGAUCUCUUUAGCACACCUGAGUUGGAUGAUGUGUAGCAGCCGUUGAUCGGUGCACGCACGUCCUCAGCCGUGAGAUAAAAGCGUAUGCAGGUGGUUGAAUGAGGACAAAGAACAGGCGUCUCUGUAUUAUCCACCCAAUUCCAUAAAUUGAUAGGAAAUGAAAACUAAAAGCCGCCAUACCAUAUUUUAGUCCAAGUGGAUAUAUUACUUUGAAGUUGGAUACAAAAUAAUUUUAUCAUGUUUCUAUAAAAUGCAAUGACAGUGCAGAAUAGAAGAACAGUGUGAGCAGAGCAGCCCACUACUUCACAGAAGAAAAGAUAAAGAUGGCGCCAUUAUUACUCACUUUCUGCUUCUUCUUCCUUUCCUCUUCAAUGAUCUCCCACGCUACAGUACCUCCAUCCUCCCAAUUCACCCACGUGAACUCGGGCGAAUUCGGCCCCUACAUAGUCGAAUACGACGCCAGUUACCGUAUCAUCCCUAUCGCCAGGACCCCUUUCCAGCUCUUCUUCUACAACACCACUCCCGGCGAGUACACUCUCGCCGUCCGUAUGGGCCUCCAGCGCUCGGAGGCCACACGCCGUUUUGUUUGGGAGGCCAACCGUGGAAGCCCCGUCGGCGAGAACGCCACCUUCUCCUUCGGGUCAGAUGGAAACCUCCUACUUGCCCAAUCCGACGGCAGGGUCGCCUGGCAAUCCAACACCGCAGGGAAAGGAGUCGUCCGAUUUGAGAUGCUCCCGUCGGGGAACAUGGUUCUCUACGAUUCCAAAGGGAAAUCCUUGUGGGAGAGCUUCGAUUUCGCCACUGAUACUCUGUUGGUGGGUCAGUCUCUUCGGGUCGGAGCUACCACCAGAUUGGUGAGCCGGGCCUCCGAGAAGGAGAAUAGAAAUGGGCCUUACAGUCUGGUCAUGGAGCCCAACCGGUUGGUUUUGUACUACACUACCGAAAACACCCCUAAACCUUAUCCUUACUACAGUUUUCUUGACAUCCAACCAUCCUCAGCCACACUUGUGAAUGUGACGUUGAAUCCUUACUUGGGGUUCGAUUACCAGGUGAGGAACGGAUACAAUGGGACUGAUGGGAGCUUCAAGAAUCCAAGGUUUAACGCUACGCUUUCCUACCUCCGCCUGGGAAUCGAUGGAAACGUUGGAAUCUUUACUUAUAUAAUUUUGUUCGAGCCAUCUGGGUACGAGGUGCACUAUUGGGAGAAGUCGUUAACGUUUUUCUCAGAGGAUGAUUGGUGGGCGCAGGAAACUAAAUGCCAGUUGCCAGGUCGGUGCGGCGACUUUGGAGUCUGUGAGAACAGUCAGUGCGUCGGGUGCCCGACGCCCAGUGGAUCGUUGUCGGGUUGGAGCGAGGAUUGUCGACCCCCGAAGCUGAGUUCUUGCGAGUUUCGGAGGUAUUAUGAGAUGAGAGGAAUUGAGCAUUUCAUGGUGAAGUACUCGAGAGGAGAUGGGCCGGUGAAGAAGGAAUGGUGUGAAAGAAAGUGCAGUAAGGAUUGCAAGUGUUUGGGAUACUUUUACAAUACAGAUUCCUCGCGCUGUUGGAUUGCUUAUGAGCUUAGGACGAUGACUCGAGUUGCUAACUCCACUCAUUUGGCUUACAUUAAAAUUUAGAUGCUUUUUCUUGUAUUUUUAUAAUAUAAUAAUAAUAAUAAUAAUGUACUUCGCAAAGUAAUUGCCAUUAUCAAAUAAAAUAUGAAAACCUGCUGAGUCGGGUAAACACUUUUACCAUAAAAACAAAGUUUUACUUUCAUUUGAGAAUAUGGUAGUUGAUAUUCGUAACCUUUUGAAGUGAUGGUAGAAAUGACAUGUGUGUUUGAACUACGUACAUAAACGUGGGCGAAGAGGAUGAUGGUUCUGGGAAAUACAAACUAAUUAAAAGGUUCAGCAGCCCCUGAAUUAGAGGGUAUAAUAAUAUAAAUAAACAAAUUACUAAUCCUACUAUCCUACUAGAUGCGGCUGAUUAUAAUCAUACAACACAAUGAAUAGGUACUCUACCUAGUUAGUUUCUGGGGGAAGGGGCUCCAUUAGAAUGUCAAAAAAUGAAUGACGAGGGGGCUCACGUUUGCACCAAAACUGACCAACUUUAAGUCCGAUUUCCAUGUGAUAUAUACCAGCAUGUCCCAAGGCAGGAAGGAAGGAAGGGUGCAACCGGGCAAGGCAUAUAUGAGUGAAUUAGUUUCAACCUUCCCCAGGCAGCUCCCACCGUCUUCCGCUCAAUACUCGGAACUUGCAAAGACCUGCAGUCAGUCUCUGUUUCGUAUUCUCUCUGCUCUGCCUUGUUUAUUAUUAUUAUUAUUGUUUGAAUUCAAUUCAUCCUCCAUCUUUGACCAACAUGCUUAAUUAGUAGAAUAUUAUGAUAGCAAGUUAAUGGUUAAUAAUAUAUUAUCCACCAAAGAAAUGUAUGCAGCACUUGUGACGGAGUUGGUGACGUUCAGGACUGUUAAUGUUAACCACCCUGUUUAUAGUUUUUACACGGUAGAAUGAAUUGCUCUGUUUUAUUUUCUACACUUGAUUAUAUUUCAGAUAUGAAAGGAAAAGGAUGAAGAAAGGAAGAAGACUGAAAACACUCUCCGUUUUGCACCUACAUUCUAAGAUUACACGGCUCAAGGUUGUUGGGAAAGGAUUGGGUAGCACAAAAUUGUGUUCAAUCUAUUCCAUAGAGUAAUUCUGUUAGUUUCUUUUUUCUUCUUUUAGUUAAUUUCUGUCUUUUUGACUCACAUCUGGCUCAUCCAUCAAUCAACAAAUCUUCCCCAACUUGCUGCCAUCGAAUUCAGAAUGAAUACUCGAGAACGAAAGCUCUUGCUCCUCCUCCUCCACCUCCUGAUCUCGAAACGGGUAACAGACCUUCCGUAGCUCAUUAUACCUCUCGACAUCAAACUUAUGAGCCUUGAUUAGCCUUCUCUGCUUCGCGAGGAACCGGCUUUGGAAGAAGCCUUCAAAAGUUGGCUCUCUGGAGGUCCUGAGGAAGAAAGCGUAGCCAGCCAUUACAUAAAUGGAGGUGACGUAGAAGCAAAUGGGUUCCAUGACGUCCCAAGACAGUUCCCAGAAUGUGAGCCUCAUGAAGGCUGCGGUUUGGAUGACUAGGUAGCCAAGCCCACCCCACAGCUCUCGCCUCACCUGCCUCCUUGCCUUUUCGUCGAUCAAUGCUUUCCGCUGCUCCAACUGUUCCAGCUCCUUCUUUCUUGGGUCGUUUGGGUUCGUUGCUGGGAAUGGUAUUAUACCUCCUAUCGCUUUCGCAACCUGUAAUCCACACAAACAAGCAAAAAUCCCAUUUGGUUGGGGUAAAAGCUUGCUCCUCCAUAUCGUAUCAUUUGUUUCAGCCAUAGACUUGAAACCAAUCCUAAUCUACUAAUUAUUUGAUCAAAUGGUUCAUCUAGCUAGGUGCAUCAGAUCCGAUUUUAAGAAAUCUACAAACAUUCAUUCUUAGUUGAUCCAAAUGGCGGGCUUAAUUGGAUUUUUAGAACUCCACAUUUAUAAGAUGAAUAAAAUUAUAAUGAAGAAUGAAUCGUCACUGUGGAAACUGAGGGCUAUGAGGGUUCCUUGUCGCCUGUCGAAACAAAAACAAAAAAAAAACACACAAAAAUACAUAGAGAAAACAUAUCAGUUUUCGGUAUUUUUCCAGAUAAAAAACAUUUCUGAAUCUGGCAAACAAUUUGUAUGUUAUCUAUCAGCUGUGAUUAUCUGGUUGUUAAUUUGGUCCUAACUCUCAGAGGACCAAGCAAAGCAAUGGUAAAUUUUUACUAUCUGUAAAACAAAUUAGUGAGCACAAGAAAAGAUGGAGAUGGCAUGAAUUUGCAUUUAUUCAUUCCUUAAUUUCAACUAAUAAAAUAAAUAAAUAAUGUUUAUAAAGGGUAUUCAUUGCUGUUUACCUGCUUUGGUUUGAGGAAUACUGCAUCUCCCAAGACGAUUACAGUUCCGGACUCGUCAAGCGUCUGGGCGACCCGGUUCCCUUCCUCCGUAUCUGAACAAACUUCUUCGCAGAUCCGAACGAACUCCGAGCGCGGCAUCCAGUUUCUUUCCGUGUCUCCAAGCCUCGAUUUCACCAUUUCCAAUCGCGCUACCCGGAGUAACUUCCUCGCGUCGUCGAUCGUCAGCUCGUGCUUUCCCGUCGACGAAUCCGAUUUCUCGACUGGCGGAGGGAAGAGGCCGUCCAAUCGGACCCGGUCCCUGACAAUGUCGAACGACCUCAGUUUCUCCAUUAAGUUUCCUCCGAAUUGGAAAGGCUUAGGAAGAUGCUCUGCCGUGGCCGUGGCCGCUGCUGCCUUCUUGUGGAACAAUCGGCGGAAAACAGCAUUAUUAUCUCCAGGAUCAGGAGCAAUGUUGGCCUUGCUCUGAGGGAUCCGACUCCUAACAGCGGAAGAUGAGAUCCGACAAUUGGCUAGGGAUUGGUUUGGGGAAAUUCUGGAGAUGUUGAAGAGGCGCUCAGCUAGGGUCUUUUUGAACGCCAUGUUUUGUCGGAAAGAAAGUGGAGAACAAUCGCUGGAGCUGCAAUGGUUUUAUUCUGGAUGGUUUUUUUGUCUUCCCCUGAAGCUGAUUGAAUUAUGGCUGUUGAUUUGCCUUCUUAAUAUAGGUGUCCCAAGGAAGAGGACGACGCCGAGAAAUUAAAAUUUACCACGAUAAUUAUAAAAAAAAAGUUUCACAGUUAUCUGCUACUUUUCACUGCCUCACGUUAUAACUUGGCAAAUGGCAUAUUCGCGUAACGUAACGAGAAAUUGGGAGGGGGGGAGUCGGGAAAAGUGGGCUGUUGUGUUGGCACGUAGGUGCCGUUCACGAUUACAAAAAUCUGAUCAUCACGGGUACGCUAAUCACCGUACACGUGGUUGGCAAACCAGAAUGGACCCUUCAUCGAGCCGUCUACACCUACUAAUUAUUUAAUCAUUACAGAAAAAUGCAAAUAGCAUCAACGUCUCGCAGCCGUAAUUAGACACGUGUCAACGACACAGCCAAUCCUUAUCCAAUAGCGUGCAGCUUAAGAGAAUGGGCUUGCCUGUGUCAUAGUAAAACCUUCUUCUUAUUAGUUCCAACUUUUACUGGGAGGUAACAAAUUGGUGGAGUUGAUAAAAUAGCAUUUUGUUCACGCAAACGUGUCGCCACAUCUGAUUCCAACUGUAUCGCUUUAUUUAUCAAUUUUUUUUUUCGCCAUAAUAUGAGAAAUAAGGGAUAUUAAUUAAUAAAUGGAAUUAAUAAAGGGAUAUUUAUUCAAUGUGGCAUUUGGUUUAUGUGUUGAUGGAAAUAGGGAGAUUGUUUCUCUAGAGAAAUGACUCAACAAUAACAAUCUUAUAUAUAUGGUGUUGCAAGUUUCAGAGAUGAGUGAUAGUCCCCAUUAAUCUCCUGGAGAAACACUUUUACAUUGCUUUGAGUUUGUAUUUCGUAUAAUCUUCUCCAUUUCAAAUAGGUCUUCGUAUUAUUCAACAGUAUUUUAUAACUAGUUAUCUGGCUAUUUAACUAGUUAUUCGGUUGAUGUAGUUAGCUACUAGUUAUUAAAUCGUGUAUGCAAUUAUAACAUGUCACUCAUGUAAAAGGUUAUAGAUAACUAGUUAUAGACGAUUAAUAAAUGUCCACGAGUACUUAUGUAUAUCCAUCCAUCGCAAAGAAUAAUGAAUAAUUGAAUAUGGAAGCAAAAUCUGCCCGAUAACAAAGUUAUCAUGACCUAAUGAAGAGGAGGAAAUUCAGCAAUCCAUAACUUGGAUCCUGAGCUUAUCAACAGUUUAGUUUAAUCAAGCUGACUCCCCCUAAUAUAUGAUCUGGACUCCAGUUUAUGGAUAAAACUUCAAAUAUUUAAUGUCAUCACCUUAAACAAAUCCCAACGUGUUGCAAGAAGGAUUGGCAAUAUACACAAGAGAAGAGGCCCUUUGGUUCCCUAAGGGGCGCUUUUACUUAUGUUUCAGGCACUGCCACUCCAUUUCCUGUUACAUUGUGUUCGUUGCCCCAACUGUCUCUCUUAAAUUAUCAGAUUCUGGAUAUCAACUUCUUCAUUUGCUAUCCUCCAACAAAUAUCCAAUUUAUUGUUUUAAUAAAUGUUCACACUACGAAAAAGGUGAUGUUAUAUACAGUCUGUAUGUUAUAUAUAAUUUGUAUGUUAUCAUAAAUUGAUUAAUAUAUUUCUAAUAAAAAAUAUAAUUAUAUACGGACUGCAUUAAUAAAAUACUAUUUUUUUUGAGCUCUUGAUAGCUGAACUUCACUAGCCCGACAUCCAAACAAAUUUUCAUCUCUUCUUCAUUGUUCUUCUUCGGCUCCUCAUAUUCCCUCUGUUCUCGUUUUGUCAUCCACGAAAGCCAAAUCAAUAACUCUAAAAACAAAGCUCCAACAACCCCUGGACCAGUCGGAAUCAUGAUUAACUUCCCCACAAUGUCUCUCGUAAUCCCGUUCAUAAAUUCGAUUCAUAAGAAACAAGCAUCGGACAAAUCUAUAUAGGUAGGUCCCCACCGGGUGACGAAAUCACUUGUCCCAAAGUUAACAUCUCCCUCUACCUCCACAAUCACUUGUUCCUCUUCCUCCUCCUCCUCUCUAUUUUUAUAUGGAGGGGCGGGUCCCAGCCAUUUCCGGCUCUGACCCUAGUCGCGACACCGCUCUAGGGGAAAACACCACCAACAACCUUUCCCGUAAAAUCUCUGAUCCGACCCGAAACCUACACUGUCCAUAUUGCUAAAGAUCGAAUCUUCAAUGUACCUCCCUCGAAGCACGCCAAUAUCGUCGUCAAUCGAGACCACAACGAGAAGAACCCAAACAAGGGCUCUAGUAAUGCAUGUUGUACUCCUCAUUGCUUCUCCUACAUGUUCGGUACUGCUUUAUUGACGAUUGGCGUGAUUGUUGACGUCACCAUAAUCGUUGUGUUGGGUGUUAUUGGGCCUUCUCACCCCAACAUCUAGCUCAAAGGGUGAUGCUUUCUCUCACACUUAUAAACAGCACCCAGCCCCUUCCACUCUCCGAUGUGGGAUAACUCAACAUGUUGCUCAUGUCAUAAUCCAGCCUAAAGUUCCCGUAAUCUCGAUCGAAAAUCUCAAGGUGAAGAACUACGAUGCGAAAUCAAGUAUCCACCGAUGGAAAUGGUGAUGCAACAUUGAUGUACAAGAACAUCGAGAUCGGGCGGGUAAGGUUUCCGGUUUGAGAGUUGGGGCGGGUCAAUCGAAGACGGGUUCUUUGCGGAUUAAGGGGAUUAGGGAAGACAAGUUGCCUGCGGUGGUCAAGGCUAGCAUGGGGGACAAAAAGGGGAAGAACCCUACUUCGGUGUGGAUGACGAUGAGAAUCCCAGUAGUGAUGAGCGCGUCAGGGGUUCACUCCCAGAAUAAAGAGAUCGAUGUAAAUUUUAAACUGAGCUUCAGCUCGUUGGGCGCAGUUAAUGGCCUUACAUCCCAUAAGCGCCAUGCCAAGUUCUCAUAGGAAGAAAGAAACAACAUUUUUAUAUUGUAUUUUGUAGUAAACGUACGUAAUACAUGUGGGGUUUGGCUAAACAAUUCGUAAUUUUGGCAACUAAUGAUGAUGAUCUUCGUCAUAAUCAUAAUCUAGUGAUCCUCUGUUUCUUCAAUUUGUAGACAUAUAUCCAUUGCAAACGAAUCUUAUAUUUCAUUUUUCCUUCCCUUGUUUGUGUUUUGCAUUUUUGUGCCUAUAGUUUCCAUUUCUAUAGUUCAAGGAAUAAUCACAUUUAAACAUCAUCAAAUAGCCUAAUUUAGUUUAUCGAAAUCAACGCAAAAAUAUUAUGUUCAAGGAAUAAUCACACUGGUCACUGCUUCACAGGAUGAUGUUGUUAUCGUGGCAUUGUCGCGGCUUGGGAACUGAUUCAUGAGCAUAAGCCGGAUAUCGUUGUGCUCAUUGAAAAACUCGCCAAUACACAUAUGAUGGAGGACAUUCGAGUUGAGAUCGGUUUUGCUGGCUGCUUCGCGACAGACGCGUUAGGGCGUAGCGUGCGCCUUGUUAUGCACACUGAUCAAUUAUCAUCGUAACUUCAUGAAUAUGCACUAGGACGAAGGUUGGGGGAAGCCAUACUGUGAGUUUUGAAUUUUACGGAUAUCGUGACCGCACGAAAGGACUAGACAUGUCGAGGAGGAUGAGGUGAUGCUCGAGGCUACAGGAGACCGCAAGAGGGGCAGGGAUGGGAUACUUACUGCAGAGGACCGGGAUACCAUUGAUGGAAUCACGCGGAAAGCCAACGAAAUCACCAAGGAAAGGAGGCAUCCCUCCUGGAUUUGAGCUACAGGCGGGUCAGCCAUCCUAAGGAGAAGUGCGUUGAUGAUAGAGUUGUGCUUGUGGAUAGUUAAUUGGAAUGGACAUGAAACGACUCAUGAGCAGUUCUUCAUGGGGCACAACAAUGAUCAUUACAAGCUAGGAACUUUUGGCAAGAACACAACUCUGAAAGGCAACUUGGAUGUCUACGAAGUGAACACAACAGCUUACUUAAUAAUAACUGGUAAAAAUAAUUACAAAGAUACAAUGAAGGAGAAAGCAAAGGAAGAUGAUCAAAGCUGGUGUCAAAAAGUAACCAGCUGCUACGAUCCUCCCCAACCCUAUGAAAACAGAGAGAUAGAGAAGAUAUCAUACAGCUCUCUCCCUCAAAUCUUCUUCUACGGUCACAAGCAGGUAACAAAAAUUAACCCGACUCGGACCAAAUUACAAAACCAUAUAAUAAUCAGAUCACACCCCUUCUGCAACUUCCAAAAACUUCAUUGCAGAAGGCUUCUUAACAAAUAGAUGGUAAUAUACUACUUUACUUUCAG
rnacentral:lncRNA from 1 species